rnacentral:lncRNA from 1 species
UGAAGAACUGGAGAAGGCGCCAGAUACGGCCAAAUUCUGCCCACAUAUCAUGUCCUUUUCACUGCAGCCCUGGCUUCGUGUGCCGAGCGCCCUUUCAAGAGAUGUAUCGCGAAUGUAUGAGUUGAUUUCCUGAACGCUAGAUGAUUUCCUGUUAUUGUUCUCCCUGUGCUAAGGAGUACCCUCUUUUAUCCUAAAGAUUACUAAGAACUUGGAAGUGCUUGAAGCUAUGGAUUGUUUCCUAUCCCGUGAUGCCUGUGAGCAUCAGAAAAUCCUGCAACUGUAUUCUCCCAUCAUCUGUAAGCUUGUUGUGCUUGACUGCUGUGCAAUAAUCGUUUGAUAUUAUUUUUGUGAAGAUGAUCAUUUCGACCUUAGUUGCUCCCUCCUCGCUGAAUUAUAGCGCAUUUUUCUUAAAAAAGGUCAAACUUUGUAAACCUUAUCACAAAAUUUAUUGACAAUUUAUCAACAGUUACAAUACAAAAUCAGUGCCAUUAGAUUCGUCAUAAUGAACCUGUAUUUUCAUAUAUUCGGUAUUGUAAAUGUUCAUUACAGCUCUUGCCUAACCGCUUGACCGUUUGACCGACCGACGAGUCUUCGGCGAGUCGUGCGGGGCUGUGUCCGGCACUGACAGUGGGAUGCCCGAUGAGCUGGUCCGGUCUCCUCUCGCUCCUCGUCCCCUGCCUCCUCUCCUUCGUCCUCCUCCGCUUCUCCGCCCUGCUGGACCCCGGCGCCGCCGUGCCCCGCGUCAAGAGGUCCCCUCCCCUGCCCCUUCGCUUCCGCCAUGACGGCGCCUUCAAGAUCCUCCAGGUCCGUACCUUCGCUCGCUCGCCCGAUUUCCCCUCGCUGCCCGCUGACCCCUGCUUGCUUGCUCGCUGGCGUUGUCAGGUGGCGGACAUGCACUUCGGCAACGGCGCCGCCACGCGCUGCCGGGACGUGGCGCCGGAGGUCGGCGGCGCGCGCUGCUCCGACCGCAACACCACGCGCUUCCUGCGCCGGCUCAUCGAAGCGGAGAGGCCCGACCUCAUAGCCUUCACCGGUGCGUGCUUUGGUUUGCUCCCCUCGCUUCCCCUGUUACUCACAGGCAGCUGCUGCUAGGUGGUUACCUAGCUACAGUGAUCGCGACUCCACCCCACGCUGUCUGCCCUGGCCGUUGAGACUCUUGCAGAUUCGCCAUUUGAAGCAUUGCAACGGAAUUAGAUCCAGUCGAUUAGGUAGCUAGUUUACCUGUAACAUUUCUACCAGCGAUAUACAACGACAAAUUAGUGCCCUAUGUAGUACCAGCUUGAUGGAUCUUGUAAGUUGACUUCAUGAAUACUUCCUGUUUGCGUUCAGAUUUCGGAGGUGGCGGCUGGAAUUUUCCACUAUGUAUUACACUCUUAUCGCCUAUUUACUUGUAGCUCAUCGAUGCUCGGAUGUUAUGGAUUGUCUCUCGUGACCUGCUGAUGGCAUUUGUAUAACCCCGUGGGGAUUUACUUUGCAAGCAAUGUGGACCCAUCGUUACUGAUGCUUAGGGGUUUAACACUCUGGAUGGAGCUAAUGUCAGAGUACUAAGCUUACAUCCUGCUUCUACAACUACAUCUGGGCGGGUUAGCUCUUGUACACAAGGGAUUCACGCAUCGGUCCUCUUGGUUCUGAUGAUGGCAUUUAUGCAUGAUUUCAUCAGUAGGGUGAUUGGUGCAAAGAGACCAAACUCACCAAACUGUAAGAAGUUGUUUUUAGAAUUUGGACCAGAUCAACAUUCAACAUGAACAUGGGCAACGUUCCCCUCUUAGCAUUAAUAGAGUACGAAUUAUCCUGCGUGAACAAAAGCCAGCAGUUAUUUCUCUGUCAUGUUGAGUUAGGAGAGUUUGGACUACUGAACAGUCUUUGAUCUCUUGGUGUAGCUGCUAAAAUACAUCCAUUUCCGCGACAAGUAAUUCGGGACGGAGGGAGUAGUUAUUAACCGCAACCACUGCUUUUCUCUUCCAUCAGCGCCUCUCUGAAAAGUUCUAUUAUACUCCCUUCGUCCCCAAAUAGAUGGCGUAUACAUUCAGUUAAAAAGUCAACUAUUUCUAAGUUUGACCAAAUAAAUAGAAGAAAUUAUCAACAACUACAUAUGAAUAAAUACAUUAUGGGUAUGAAUAUAUAUGUAAUGUUGGAUAUAUUGAUAUUGAUUUCGUAUCGUUUAUCUUCAUAUUUUUGUAUUUAUGCCCGGUCAAACAUAGAAAGCAUUGAUUUUUUUGACUCAGUUUAUAUGCCAUCUAUUUAGGGACGGAGGGAGUACCACUUUGAGUUACUACAUUAUUUACUUGUUUCCAGUUCUCUUAAUCAUAGAAAAGGCUGAACAACUUAAAAUUUAAUCCUUCUGCUUUAAUUUUGAAUCAGGGGAUAACAUAUUUGGGGGCAGUGCAACUGAUGCAGCGGAAUCACUACUCAGAGCAAUUAGCCCUGCUAUUGAGUACAAGGUACCAUGGGCUGCCAUAUUAGGAAAUCACGACCAGGAAUCCACAAUGACGCGAGAGGAACUGAUGAUGUUCUUGUCUUUGAUGGAUUACUCAGUAUCUCAAGUAAACCCUCCUGGUUUUCUGGUACAUGGGUUUGGCAAUUAUCAUGUUGGCAUACAUGGGCCAUUUGGAUCGGGGUUGGUCAAUACUAGUCUGCUUAACCUUUACUUCCUCGAUAGUGGGGAUCGUGAAGUAGUAGAUGGAAUUAAAACUUAUGGAUGGAUAAAAGAAUCUCAGCUUGCUUGGCUCAGUACUACUUCAAAAAAACUCCAGGUACUAGCUUGAUCACAGCACCUAACAUCUCAGUGUGGAAUGUGUCACCAUUGCGGAUGGAGAUCCUAACAACUAGUAUAAAUAUGUCAUGUCUGUUGGUCUAUUACCCCUUGCCUUUUUCUGCUAUAUGUUGAAGAACAUAUUUGUAAUCAAUCCGCUGGAUUAUUGUUCUGUUCAUAUUUUACCAGUCUUUGAGCUAAUCUCCCAUGUCACAUUCUGGUACAUGGGUUUGGCAAUUAUCAUGUUGGCAUACAUGGGCCAUUUGGAUCGGGGUUGGUCAAUACUAGUCUGCUUAACCUUUACUUCCUCGAUAGUGGGGAUCGUGAAGUAGUAGAUGGAAUUAAAACUUAUGGAUGGAUAAAAGAAUCUCAGCUUGCUUGGCUCAGUGCUACUUCAAAAAAACUCCAGGUACUAGCUUGAUCACAGCACCUAACAUCUCAGUGUGGAAUGUGUCACCAUUGCGGAUGGAGAUCCUAACAACUAGUAUAAAUAUGUCAUGUCUGUUGGUCUAUUACCCCUUGCCUUUUUCUGCUAUAUGUUGAAGAACAUAUUUGUAAUCAAUCCGCUGGAUUAUUGUUCUGUUCAUAUUUUACCAGUCUUUGAGCUAAUCUCCCAUGUCACAUUCACAUUACGGGAUUUGCACCAUACUCAUUAGCAACUUCUGUUGUUUAUCAGCAUUGUUUGAAAUAAAAAAAGGCUACUCCUCUUUGUAAUAUAUAUUUUUUGACAACUGGUACUUGACAAUAUCCUUUAUUUGACAGCAAAAUUUGCCUGCCCCUGCAUUAGCAUUCUUCCACAUCCCAAAUCCAGAAGUCCGAGGGCUGUGGUACACAGAUUUUAAGGGUGAGUAUCAGGAAGCAGUGGCUUGCUCAUUAGUUAACUCUGGUGUCCUUGACACCCUCGUCUCCAUGGGAGAUGUGAAAGGUGUCUUUCUUGGUCAUGAUCAUCUUAAUGAUUUCUGUGGCAACCUUAACGGCAUAUGGUUCUGUUAUGGCGGUGGCUUUGGUUACCAUGCCUAUGGAAGGCCUCAUUGGCCGAGGAGAGCUCGGGUAAUUUAUACUCAGCUCAAGAAAGGGCAGAGAUCAUGGACGGAAGUCGAGUCGAUACAGACUUGGAAGUUGCUUGAUGAUGAAAACCUUUCCAAGAUCGACGAGCAGGUUCUCUGGAGAGACAGUGACGAUGACUCUUACCAGAGUGUACACUUGUAAACUCCGGACACUAAAAGAUCUCUUUGUAUGUUGUAAACAUGUUUGAUCAAUUACAAUACAUCAAAUUGGUAGGUUUGAUCAAAUUAGUCAUGAUUGGCCACAGACCAAAUUAGUCAUCACCUGUAUAUGAUACUGAUGUAUCUUGUUCAUAUGCAAAUCCCUUGCUUGGGUUGUUGAAACCAGUUGUAAACAUGAUGUGAAGAGGUAAUUUGUCCCCUUGAUGUGGCAGUUAGCCUGAAUAAUUUUCUUGUGUAUGGAUUGACUGUAAUCUGUGCUUCAUUAUACUCAUAUACUCCCUCCGUUCCUAAAUAUAAGUAUUUUAAGACAUUUCAAAUAGACUAUAACAUACGGAUGCAUGUAGACAUAUUUUAGAGUGUAGAUUCACUCAUUUUGCUCGGCAUGUAGUCACUUGUUGGAAUCUCUAGAAAGACUUAUAUUUGGGAACGGAUGGAGUAAAAGAUAGUAUGAAUUAGACAACAUAUGCCUGAUUUUAAUAACAAAAAAGAACACCUGUGUAGUAUAAAGAAAGAAAGCUGGGCAUCUUAUAUAUAACUCAGUUGGCCCUUCUUUCUAUCAAGAAGGAAAGAAAGAACCCAAGGUAUUCAUAAAGCAAAAAAGGGAGUAUGAACUAUCCAUAAAGUUUUCUGAUGUACCAAGGUAUUGUCAACCGUCUGAUCUUCAACUUCUGGUUCAGAUAUAGGCCUUCAAUCAUUUUUGCACCACAACCUUGAGUUCUAUCAAAAUCAACCUGUAGCGUGCCCCUCUCUCUUCCGUCAUUUAAUGCAUGCAUUUCAAAUUUGCUCAAAGCAGAUAAAGGGCCAUGAAUUUUGAACCUGACAUCUGAUUCCUGAUCAGUUUUGUUCACCCCCUUCCACUUGACAGCAUCUUUGAAACAAACCAAUGUCGAAUAUGAUUUUAAAAUUUUAGUUUGUCUGCCUUAACUGAAAAAAUCAUGGAACUUUCAGGAACCAUUAUUUAUUUAUGCAAAUAUCGUAGAAGGGUUUUGGUGAGCCUCACUGUUUUUCCGAAAAGGAGGUUAUUCCCCGGCCUCUGCAUCAGAACGAUGCAUACAGCCAUAUUAUUGGUAAGCAAAAGGUUCAACAAUAGUCUUCAUGUCUCAAAAAAGGAGAAUGACUCACAUAGAACAUAAACAAAAGAACAGGAUAGCAACCGGCAGGCAAAAAAUAAGAUAGGAAACUACACACCUAUCCUAUUACAUGACCGCCAUCCAAAUCGGUUGAAGAUAGCCCGUGCUACCGUCUCCCAUCGGAUAUAUCCAGUAACCAUACGCUCCCUGGCCUCCGUCGGAGUAAGUAGCGACCACAUACGGAUCAAUGCGGUGGCCCGGAAAAUAACCUGCAAGAAAUGAAUAUGUGUUGUUCUGUUAACAACAAAUCGUUUCUGCAGUUCCAAACAAUCCAUAAUAAAAGCACAUACUCCUACACAGACAUGUCUUGCUGUUUCUGAAUCUAUCCCAUCUAGCCACGUCCCAAAUAACGUGUUGAUAGUAUUCGGAGGAGUGAUAUUAAAUGCUAUGUGGACCGACCGCCACAAUUUUUUUGCCAAUGGGCAGUGAAGAAAGAGGUGUUUGAUGGAUUCAUCACGAUCACAGAAGCUACACCUUGUAGAUCCUGUCCAGUUGCGUUUUGCCAAAUUGUCCUUAGUUAGAAUGACUUGUUUAUGGACAAACCACAUAAACAUUUUAAUUUUUAAAGACACUUUGACUUUCCAAACAUGUUUCGAACGAGGAAUAGAGGUAGAGUUGAUAACAUCCAAAUACAUGGAUUUAACCGAAAACUCACCAUUCUUAGUUAGUUCCCAGCGCAACUGAUCGGGCUGUUGAGAUAGGUGAACAUCCAUCAACCGUCUCACAAGAUGGAGCCAAGCUUCCCAACGGUUUCCCGCUAACGUCCUCCUGAAUUGAAUAUUAAGAGGAUUGGACUGUAAUACUAUUGCAACGUAAGCGUCUCUUCGCUGAACACUAUUAUAGAGAGAAGGAUAUUGGAGUGCAAGGGGCGUCUCCCCUAACCAUGUAUCCUCCCGGAAUCUCGUGGUAGUACCAUUUCCAACUACAAAUUUUGUCCUGUUGAAAAAGACUGAUUUCACUCUCACCAGUCCUCAAAAAGGCGAAUCAGUCGGCCUGACCGUCACCUGGGAUAAGGUUUUGGAUUGAAGGUACUUAUUACACAGAAUCUGGGCCCAUGUGGCAUCCGUCUCUACAGAUAGCUUAUACAGCCACUUGCUGAGAAGACAUUUGUUCUUCACCUCUAGAUUUUCAAUGUCGAGACCCCCUUGGUCUUUCGGCCUACAAAUGAUAUCCCAUUUAGCGAGUUUGUACUUUUGUUUUAAUUCGUCGCUCUGUCAGAAGAAGCGCGAUCGAUAGAAAUCUAGCCUUUUCCAAACUCCAAUUGGUACCUCAAAAAAGGACAAGAGAAUCAUAGGCAUACUCGUGAGUGCCGAAUUAAUGAGAAUUAGUCGGCCUCCAUAUGACAUAAGCUUGCCCUUCCAGUAGUUUAGUUUCUUUCCAAAUCGAUUCUCAAUACACUUCCAUUCUUUGUUGGAAAGCUUGCGAUGGUGGAUUGGUAUACCCAAAGACGUGAAGGGUAAGGACCCUAAUUCGCACCCGAACAAUUGUUUGUAAGCUUCUUGUUCAUCUUUAGUUCUUCCAAAGUAGAACAAUUCACUUUUAUGGAAGUUAAUCUUUAACCCCGACAAUUGUUCGAACAAGCAUAACACAAGCUUCAUGUUUCUUGCUUUCGCCAAAUCAUGCUCCAUGAAGAUGAUAGUAUCAUCAGCGUACCGUAGGAUAGACACUCCUCCGUCGACUAAAUGCGGAACGAGGCCACCUACCUUGCCAUUAUCCAUAGCCCUUCCUAUUAGGUUUGUCAACAUGUCGACCACUAUGUUGAAUAGAAUCGGUGGCAUCGGGUCUCCUUGCCUCAGACCCUUGUGUGUCUGGAAGUAAUGACCUAUGUCAUCAUUCACUUUGAUUCCAAUACUCCCUUUUUGUGUGAAAGAAUCUACUUGGUUUCUCCAGGACUGAUAGAAUCCUUUCAUAUGCAAUGUUGGGGAAUGCAGUAUUUCAAAAAAAUUCCUAUGAACAUGCAAGAUCUAUCUAGGAGAUGCAUAGCAACGAGACGGGAGAGUGUGUCCACGUACCCUCGUAGACAGAAAGUGGAAGCGUUUAGUAACGCGGUUGAUGUAGUCGAACGUCUUCACGAUUCAACCGAUCCAAAUACCGAACGUACGACACCUCCGUGUUCAGCACACGUUCAGCACGAUGAUGUCCCUCGAGCUCUUGAUCCAGUUGAGGACGAGGGAGAGUUCCAUCAGCACGACGGCGUGGCGACGGUGAUGAUGAAGUUACCGGUGCAGGGCUUCGCCUAAGCACUACGACGAUAUGACCGAGGUGUGUAACUGUGGAGGGGGGCACCGCACACGGCUAAGAGAAGACUUGUUGUCCUUUGGGGUGCCUGUCGUGGUUCUAAGUCUGACAGUAGAAAGGGGGGUACGUAGGAGGAGGCAAGAUCCUAGCUACGAUGAGGUUGUGCACGCAAGAUUUAUGAGUUCAGACCCUUCUCAGAGGAAGUAAUAGCCCUACGUCUCGGUGCCCUGAGGCGGUCGACUAGAUUAUGCGUAAAGUUACAGGGGGUGCGAAGCCUUGUCUUAGUGGAGGGGGUGGCUUAUAUAGAGUGCGUCAGGACCCCAGCCAGCCCACAUUACAAGGAGUUCAAUGUACAUAAAGGUGAGGCGUUACUGGUAAUGCCAGCAAUAAAGACAUAUAAAUGAUCAUUAACACUACGGAGUGAACGCCUGGCUGUUGCCAUCCUGAGUGACUUUAGGUCUUCUGUAUUCCGAGUGGUUUCUUGUACGGUCGAAUGGUGAUAUACUGGUCGAAUGGUGAUAUACUUAUCGAAUGGAAUUGGGUUAUCCGAGUGGAAUUGUUGGUCGAGUGGGUUGCACUCUGAGGAGAUUCCAGUCGGUGGAAAUUGUUGUGCUUUGAAUGUUGUUGAUCUUUGGGUAGUGUCCUUGGGAAGGGCGUCUAGGUCAGGCCUACACUACAAAAAAGACACAUCCGUGACAUUUUGGGCCGAACGAAUUUUUUUCUGUCAUACAUAUGACACUUCUAUGACGAUAAUUGUGACAAAACCCGGUAUCAUCAUAGAUGUGGUGGGCUCCUACUUCUAUGACAAAAUAUCAUGACAGAAAAUGGGCUUUUCGUCCUGGGCGGGCCGGAGACGCAGCUGCGUGACAUUCUUUGGGCCGUCCAUGACGGAAAAAACCAUGGUAGAAGCGAGGGGGAGGAAAAUUUCGGGGAGUUCCCGGUUACGAUGGGAGGUCGGGGGACGAGCGAUGCGCGUUUAUCUCAUACACGUACGCGCGUGUGUGUGAGGCGUUGGCUCUAAUUGAACCCGAGCGAGGCGUUGGGCUCUAACUGAACCCGAGCGAUUGCACUGCAGGCUACGCGUUACUGAACCCGAGCGAUCGAUCGAUGGCUGUUAACUGAACCCGAUCGAGCGAUUCCUUCGCUGCUGCUGCUAACUGAAGCCGAUCGAUUGGAUGAACAGUNNNNNNNNNNNNNNNNNNNNNNNNNNNNNNNNNNNNNNNNNNNNNNNNNNNNNNNNNNNNNNNNNNNNNNNNNNNNNNNNNNNNNNNNNNNNNNNNNNNNNNNNNNNNNNNNNNNNNNNNNNNNNNNNNNNNNNNNNNNNNNNNNNNNNNNNNNNNNNNNNNNNNNNNNNNNNNNNNNNNNNNNNNNNNNNNNNNNNNNNNNNNNNNNNNNNNNNNNNNNNNNNNNNNNNNNNNNNNNNNNNNNNNNNNNNNNNNNNNNNNNNNNNNNNNNNNNNNNNNNNNNNNNNNNNNNNNNNNNNNNNNNNNNNNNNNNNNNNNNNNNNNNNNNNNNNNNNNNNNNNNNNNNNNNNNNNNNNNNNNNNNNNNNNNNNNNNNNNNNNNNNNNNNNNNNNNNNNNNNNNNNNNNNNNNNNNNNNNNNNNNNNNNNNNNNNNNNNNNNNNNNNNNNNNNNNNNNNNNNNNNNNNNNNNNNNNNNNNNNNNNNNNNNNNNNNNNNNNNNNNNNNNNNNNNNNNNNNNNNNNNNNNNNNNNNNNNNNNNNNNNNNNGAGGUCCGUUUCGUCCGUUUUGCGGUACGUCACACCCCUCCCGAUCAACAGGACCCCCGUUUCGACCAUAGGAGGUCCAUUUCGUCCGUUUUGCAGUAUGCCACACCCCUCCCGAUCAACAGGACCCCCGUUUCGACCGUAGGAGGUCCGUUUCCUCCGUUUUGCGGUACGCCAGACCCCUCCCGAUCAACAGGACCUCGUUCAGGCCUCGUUUCCAUCGCUUGUUCCGUCCAAACCCUCCAUAUGAACACGACCACGCAUUCUGUUCCGACCUAGCCGACUGGCUCCCACGCGUUCUGUUGCCUCCCAAUGAACACGAGACAUUCCAUUGCCUCCCCAUAAACACGACGCAUUCCGUUGCCUCCCCAUGAACAUGAUGACGACGCUGUUUCUCCGUUCCGACCCAGCCAUGUACACGAGCCCUGACCGUACGUAUGCACGAGUAGGCGUUCGAGACGCCGCCCGUAUGUACACAUACGUGGCCGUAUUUUCUUUCUUGCACCCUGGCUGCUGUACGUACGUGUACAUGCUACGUGCGCGCCUCUACUACGACACGUAGUCGCCUCUACUAUGACACGUGCGCGCCCCUACAUCCACCAGUAUAUAUGUACGUACACGUUCGCGAUCAGAAUGACAACGCUACAUAUGCUUCGACCAGGUGAGUCCCGACUGUCAGACACUUCCUUGCCUGUGAAGAUGUAGCUGGUGGGUCCCAGCAGUCAGGGGGGCGAAUCGUUUUUUUGCCCGGACACACUUCCUUGCAUGCGAAGAUGUAGCUGGUGGGUCCCAACAGUCAGGGGCAAACGUUUUUUUUGCGAAAUACGGUGGCCCGUCCGGUGGUUCCCCGCUGUCAGGUGGAGGAAUAAUUAUUUUGCAUGUAAUAAGGAGGCAUUUCCUUGCUGCGUCCGUGGACCCAGCUGUCAGCCUCUCCACGUACAGUCCACGUCCGAUGGAAGCCGUUCCUUCACCACGUUGACCACGCCGCGCCGAGAGCACCAGGGCGAUGGACGACGGCGAGGCCUAGGAAGGGGACGACGCAGAGCCGGGGAAGACACGACAGUGGAUGCCCACGCGUAGAGGAGUACGAGGGUUCACUGGUUCGCUGCGGUGUGAGGCUGUCGUCGCCGCAGAAUAACAGGGGGUGUGGGUGAGUAGAGGGAUAGCUUGGCUAGCGAUGGAAGUAGUAGGGGGCGGUGAGGCCUCCGCCGCAUCGCAGCCGGCCACGGGAGACAGGAGCACGAGGCACGACCGGCGCUGGUUUGGGCGACUGGAGUAAGUAGACCAGAGGUUGAAGAAGCACUAUGGCCGUUGGAUGGACAUCGUACGGUCACUAGAGCUAGAAUCGUGCAUAUUGACUAACUUGACAAAGCCCUCCGUCCCCGUCAACUUAGUAGGCCCACAAGUCAGCCUGCCACUAUAGUGGGUCCCAGCUAAUAGGGGGAGUAUUCAUUUUUUUGUGCGUAAUAAGGAGGCACUUCCUUGCGUGCGAUGAUAUAGCUGGUGGGUCCGAGCUGUCAGCGGCGGUAACGUUUUUUUCGAGAAAUACAAAGGCCCUUUCGGUGGGUCCCUGAUGUCAGGUGGAGGAAUCAUUAUUUUGCGCGUAAUAAGGAGGCAUUUCCUUGCGUGCGGCCGUGGACCCAGCUGUCAGCCUCUCCACGUACUGUCCACUUCAGAUGCAUGUCGGUCGUUGACCACAUUGACCAGGCCGCGCCGAGAGCACCAGGGCGGUGGACGACUGUGAGGCCUAGGAAGGGAACGACAUGGAGGCAGGGAAGAAUCGGCAGUUGUUUCCCACACGGAGGGGAGUACGACUGUACGAGGGUUUACUGGUUCGUCUGCCGUCGCCGGAGAAUAACAGCAUGUGUGGGUGAGUAGAGGGAUGGCUAGGCCAGCGAUGGGAGUACGGUGGGGCGGUAAGGCCUAUGCGGCAGCAGAGCCGGCCGCGGGGAGGAGGGAGCAGGCAGUCCCGCCGACGCUUGUUUGAGCGGCUGAAGCAGGAAGAACAGAGAUUGAAGAAGCACGACGGCCGUUGGAUGGCCAUCCAACAGUCACUGCUUGUGCGUCAACCUUUUUUUAGGAAAGCCUCAAAUCUGUGGAAAACAGCAUACAUCCCAUCUGCCAUUAUUUCUAAUAAUUUACAACCCAUUUGCUAAUUAUUAAGGUUUUUUGGAGCCCAUAUUCUUUUUGUUAUCAUUACAGCCCAUAUUGUGGCCACGGUUAAAAAAAUAUACGAAAUUUUGCAUAUUUCGGUGCAGUCCGAACUGUUUUUAAUCCUAAAAUUUCGACUCACAUUCAAACUGAUUUUAAAAAUAAAUGUAUAUCAAUAUAAAAUCCAACAAAUUCUCCACGCAUAAAAAUUAAUGUAAUUUAAAAUCUCGAAAUGAAAAAAAGAUAUUUGAAACUAAUUGCCGGUUUGAUGUGUUUUAAAAAUAUACAGCCCAUUUUUCAUUACUGAUAGGCCAUUUUCUCGGCUAGCUGAAUGAAGCUCUCCUCGUCUUGAAAGAUUUGCAGUCCAACAGGCCUGACAAAGUGACUUACUUGCCAAAUCACAAAAAACUGGGCUGUGGCCGUGGACCCAGCUGUCAGUCCAUUUGGUUUUUUAGUCCAUUUGGUGGGUUGGGUGAAACAAUGAUGUAGCAUCUAUGCAGCCCGUUUAAAUCUCAUUUGCAUUUUCCUCGAAAUCCGCGGACUUGCUGGGCUAGGUGAAAAUAUCAUGUUGGGCUAGACGGAAAAAUGUUAUAAAAACAUAAACACAUGAUUGCACGUCAGUAAAAUCUUUGCAAGCUUAUGUACGCAAUCACUAGGGGUUAACUUGCCAAGUUAUAUAUAAACAAUUAUUAUUAUUAUUUUGUCAGAACUUUCAACUUACGAAAUAAAUUAUCAUUUUAAUUUGAUGAGUUAAUAGUAUGUGGGGUAUUAUUAAUUUUUAGGCUAGACGUGGGACAGUUGAGUUGGUUCUAGGGGAAAGUACUGGGAGAAAACUCAGUUUACAUCGAAAAAGAAAGUGGGAGAAAAUUCAGAGACCUGCUAGGUGCACCUGAGGAGGGGAAUAUGUUGGGAAGAAGGAGAUUCAAAGCACGGCAGCCGAGUGAACUAGUUUUUUUAUGGACAAGUGAACUAGUUUACAUACAUAAGCAAAUAUCCACUAAAAAAGCAAUCAGGUUAAUGGGUUCUUAAAAGAAAUAUUUCGGACAAAACAGAUAAUUACGACAUAUAGGCUAAUGCAUGAAACACUCAGAUGAUAAAGAUGCUUAUAAACAGAUAAAGUACAACAUCUAGACCUUCCUGGCACGCUUGAUCAUGACGCUGCGGCUGUCCGUGUACUCGUCGGUUACGGGAAGCAGACACGCCCUCAUGUCCAAGAUCUGCCUGUACAUGUCGUAGCAUGCGUAUGCGUCCUUGGCCGCGUAGGUUAUGUAGCCUAGAUUCAGAGGUACCUCCCACGUGUUCAGGUCUUCUUCUUUCAUGUUGGCGUAUCAGGGGUCGAUGAUGGUCUCAGCAAGGUCAACCACGGAGUCCUUCUCCUGCCGGUUGCUGAUGAUCUUGUAUUGCUUCUGGAUGUUGACAAGCUUGUUGCACCAGAUGGCCGAAUCGUCGCGUUCUUCCUUCUCUCCACCGUAGCGAAGGUGCAGUCGGCGCUGCCGAUGAAACGGGCGAAUGCUCCAGAACCUGGUGCAGCCAUAGGACUGAGGCGAGGCAGAGCUUCACUGAGUCCAUAUCGUUGGUGUACAUCACAUUCAACUUGGUGCAGCCAUAGGACUGAACGGCAAACUCAAAGGGGAACUCCUUGUUGAAGUCCAUAUCCAGCAGGCUCACCCCUCGGAUCGCCAUUGGAGUCUCUUUGAGUGAAUGAGUGUGUAGGCGGUAGUAGUUCAUUUUUCAGCUCUUGGGGAACUGGAUUCAACAGUAAGCUGAGUGUGUACAUGCGACAACAAUUACUACCCCUCCCUCGUCCGCUGCACGCCCGGCAGAAGAUGCACCCUCGGCCACACGUCGGUUCACGAGCGGGUCGGUAUUGGUAUUGUAAUAACAGGAGUUAGUGGUCACUUUACUUAAAUUUAAUUAGCUUUAAUAGAAAUUUGUACUUAAAACAAGCAAUGCAUUCGCUCGUUCUAUCAGUGCCACAGGAUCAACAUGCACAACAAUUAGAAUUAUUAUUCUCAGGACGCACACGAUCAACACAUUUGUCGCACUUUCACAAAGAUAAUACUACCAAGUUUGAACUGUUUGUUAUGGUUGUUGUCCUCUGCAUCAUCAUGCCAUGUUUCCCAGCUGGCAAGAUUCAGAGCCAACAAAUAAGAUCCAAAUAAUAAGUACAACAAAGAUGCCUACACAUCUCAUUGAUUCCCAGCCCGCAAGAUUCAGAACCAACAAAUAAGAUCCAAAUAAUAAGUACAACAAAGAUGCCUACAAAUCUCAUUGAUUCCCAGCUUGCAAUAUUCAGAACCAACAAAUAAGAUUCAAAUAAUAAGUACAACAAAGAUGCCUACACAUCUCACUGAUUCCGAGCUUGCAAGAUUCAGAACCAACCCAUUAGAGCCUUUUGAUAAAGUGAAUAUCGGGAUUAAAUCCAUCUUGGCUAGCCAUGUCAUACAAUCGAAGAACUUGGCGAAUGCUCUUGACCGUCACAACAUCUGUAGUUGAGUAUUCCUAUUUGCACAACAUGUUUGCACAUCACAAACAAGGAGACAGGAGAGCAUGAUUUCGCUUUAAUAGUGGCCUCCUUGAACUCAACCUCCAGCUCUACUUGAAUGAGGUCUGCCUGGAGUUCCAUGAUUCAAUUCAUGCGCCUUUUUGUGCAGUUCACCUGAAAUGAAGCAAAGAUUGCAUCAUUCAGCUAGCAAGAAGUACUUGCUCUUGUGAGCUGGCAGGUUCUUCUUUAGUAGUUGCACUAAAAUUGAGGAACAUUAAGGUUGGCUGUCCGGCUCAUCUAAGGUGCAACUAUAAUUUUCUUAUCCUUUUGUGCAGUUCCACUAAAAUAAAGUGCCAUUGUGGUGACAGUGACGGCUCCAUCUUGCAAAGGCUAAUAAAAUGUUGCACGAGAUUACCAGCAGAACUUGACAGAGAUUUUGGAAACUCCAAUCACCAUUUUGUGCAGUUCCACCAAAAUUGAGAGAUGUUGCCCACGUGACAUUUUAGUUGAACUGCACAAGACACUCAUCCCAAAAAAAGUGUUUUGUGCAGUUCACCAAAAGGUCACAAUAGCAACAAGGUGAAAUGGAUAUCCCUAUCUGCACAAAAAGAUAGAAAGUAAACAGUUGCUGGUCAAUAAGAAUAUACGAAACAUAUACAGAAUGAAAAGAAGCAUCUUAAUUAUGUUCAUGGCAAUCACGCGAGGACAAUAGAAAUUUUAAAACGUCAGCAAUGCUUCAUGUUACCAGAAGCAUUGCGAUCAACAAUGAGAUUCCUCAAAUAUGGGAUUACUUUAAUGGUGGCAUUGCUUGUUUACCAGACACAGUAAAUCAACUGCAGCUAAAGAGUUGGUUUAAGGGCAUGGGACCCUGGGGACACCAGGACACUUAGCAGCGUAAAGGAGCAACUUACUUAUCAUACUGGGGAAAACAGCAGGAGUGCCAUUGUACUAUGUGAGGGUAGCAGAUCUAAUCCUGGAGACCUUUUACUAUGUGAGGGCAACAAAUCUAAUCCUGGAGACCUUUUACUAUGUGAGGGCAGCAAAUCUAAUCUUGGAGACCUUUUACUAUGUGAGGGCAGCAAAUCUAAUCCUGAGACCUUUUACUAUGUGAGGGCAGCAAAUCUAAUCCUGGAGACCUUUUACUAUGUGAUGGCAGCAAAUCUAAUCCUGGACAUACUCUGUUGACUUGUCCACCAGCCGCCACUUUAUAUCCUUUUUCAACCAAUAAUAGAUCUGUUCCUUAUCCAAUAUGUACUGCAUUUUCCCAUUAUUUCCCUUUUUAACCAAGAGACCGGUUGGGUAUCCGGUCUCUACUACUUUCACUAUAUUAUUUCCUCUUUGAAUCAAGUCCUAGAUUCAUGCUACAACUUUCCCCCUUUCUUCGUUGUUUGAACAAAGCCCUAGAUUCGAAUGCAUGAAGUAGCUUUACCUCUAAUAAUACUAAAAAUUUAGGUGGCUUUGGAAGAGCUGAUGGGAGUACAAAAAGAUGCACAUGCAGACACGUGGGGAGCUGGGGCAGUAGAGCAAGGCCGCUUUCGAAGAACAUAUACCUGAGGGUCGCCGGGAUGUCGGCGGCGGCAGGUCGGAUCUGCGGACAAUACGACAGGGAGGAAGAAGGGUCGGAGGACCUCCCGAGCCGGCCAUGUGUCAGAGAGAACGGCACGGGCAGAGGAUCGGGCCCCUCCGACAGCUGUGGGUUUCCUUCCUCGGCGGUGAUGACCGCAUGAACGAUGCACCUUUUAGUCCUCUACACACACCAGCUGAAGGGAUCCGGCCGGAUCUGUGACCAGCGGUGAGCAGAGAGAAAAUGUCGCUACCGCUAUCUUGUUUAUAUCUGGAGAGGAUGAGAGAAUGAAGAGAGCAACCCUAGUAAAGCAAGCGCUCAGGCCCCUGCGUCCAUAUAUAGUGGAGUGAUUAUCUUUUUUCUCUCCACAACAAGCAUUUCAAUUUGUGUACGUGGCAUUAAAGAAAAGAAACUCUCUAUUUAAGGUGACUACUGUACGACUCCUACUUACUACUAGUAGUACUACAAUAUUGUUCACUUGUGCUCCCCGCCCCUCCAUUCAUUGAACAACCCCACGGGUGAAUAAACAUACAGUAAGUACUGUAUUUAUAUAGAACGAACAAGCUCGAACUAUUUUCGCGUAGUUAAAAGUUGAGGGCGGGGCUUUUCCCGGGUAGUACGCGCAGCAGUUUUCGGGUAGGGCCAGAAGACUAUUUUAAUUUUUUUAAAAACUUUGAGACGGCCACAUAGCAUGGAGCCGACCCCAACGAUUUUAAGCUUACAGGCACGGUACACACUAUCCUAGACUACUAUACACAUGAAACUGCCACACGAGCGUCCGGGCUGCGCUUGGCUCUUCGCCUCUUUGGGAAGUCGAACAAUGAUGGAAUACUACUACACUAGAGGAGUACUACAGUACGCUUCUGGCCAUCUGACACCGAUUGAACUGCUGCAUGUCCACCGUGUGCGGGAGGGAGAGCGUGUAGCGAAAGCUUCUAGUCUUGCCAGCCACCACGCUCAUGGGCGAGGGAGGGACGCUCCUGCCUUUGCGUGUAUGACAGGUGGGCCCUACAGAUGUGUGGCCAACCUGUCAUACAGCCAAAGGCAGGUGCAGUUAAGUCCGUGAGGGAGAGGAUAAUCAAACUUCUCGUUGAUGUACGAGUUGACGCAACACAUCAGAGCACUGCACUCGAUAUAUUUCAAUAAUUUGCAUGUGUGACUCCCAGAUGUAGAGGCCGGGGGUCAUCAUCCUCCUUUUCGAGAAAAAAUAGACACGUGUGUGAGAGGACGAGUGCGUGCGUGCAUCUCUUCUCUUCCUGUAUAAUGUACUACUAAACUCAGAGUACAAUUUUUUGUGGGUGGCACGAUGGUGCGUGCGAGAAGUCCCGAGAGAUAGGUUUAAUGCAUUAAUUGCAAUGCAUGCAUGCAUAAAGUACAUGCAUUGGUCAAUUUUCUCUUAAUACUUGCAUCCAAUGAUUUAAUGCACCUUGGAAUCUGAACAUGUGUUGGGGAACAACCAAAUUGAGCCUUAUAAAAUGGAAAAACUAAAAUUUUGAGAUAAGCCCUAUAAAACCGGAAAGGAGGGAGUAGAAAAAGAAGUACUUUAUCCGGGAAUAGUGCCGCACUUCGAAACUAGAACCGUCAAUAAAUUUUGAGCUUGCGUCUCGUCACAUUCCAAAUUACUCCAUGCUAUAUUGAAUUGCAAACCUGUUCACACCGAUCACAACCUAAACGGUUUCCCACUUAGGAGCAUAUUAGUACUUGGUUAUAAAUACUAGUAUGCCAAGAUGACUGCACAUUCCUCCUCAACUCCUCAUCCACAAAAACCAACAAGUCAUUCAACAUCCUUCCCUUGUGUCUGCCAUGGCCAGCGUGAGUUCUGGGUCGAGAUAUUACCACCAGGGAGAGGCGAGCACGGAAGCGGAAGCACGAGAGAUGUCCCGCCUCGCUGCGAGAGGAGCCGACAUGUCCCGCCGCACGGAAGUAGCAGCACAGAGGUCCCGCCGCGCCGCUGAAGCAGCACAGAGGUCCCGCCGCGCCGUCGAUGCAACAGACUGGUCCGACCGCUCCGCGAAAGCAGCAAAGAUGUCCCACCGCGCCACGAAUGUAGCAGAGAUGUCCUGCCGCGCCGCGGCGGCCUAGGAAAAUUUCUCGCGGGCAGGCGAUGACUGUUAUAGGCGCAUGCAUGUGAUCGUUCAUAGCCAGAUGGAUUAGAUCUCUGGCUCGGUGAGGUUGCAGGACGACAUGAUAGCCUCGUUUGAACAGGCUACCAGCGUCAUCCGGCAACUAAGGGAGGGCAACGAGAGGCUCUAGGCCGAGCGCGACUUGCUGAGGGAGAAGAUCGUCCGAAGUGCAGACCUGCAGGAGGAUACUAGUGCCUUGUUGAAGAAACUUAUGGACGAGAAUGACAUUCCCCACAACGAGCGCCAAAGGCUGGUGGAGGAAUCUGUGGAUGUUCUCAAGCAGCGUCUUGAGGACACGAAAGAGCUCAUUGCCGCUCACCGUGGAGACUAGUUUCCUGGUUUCUUUUGAUGUAAUAAUCGGUUUAGGAUGUGGAUUGUGUCGUCGGUUGUGAAAUGUUGGGUUCUAGCGCGGAUGUUUGGCCUUUGUUGGCCUCUUGGGAUGUUGCGAUUUCAAUCUGGUAGCUUUUAGUCCUUCGUGUUAGGCUGGAGCUGUGCUGAACUUCUUGUGAAUUGUGGUGGUUUUCAGUAAUGAAAAUCGGAAGGGGCAAUCCCUUCUUUGAUCAAAAAAAAUUUAAUCGUCCUUAUAUAUUCAUCAGUCUUGCUAUAAGUCGCAGUAGAUGCUAUAUAGGUUCGUCGGAUCUUACAUCAAGAUCCGUGCUUUCAGAUUUUCCUUUUUCUCUCUUAAAUCUCAGUCGAGUGAGACAUAGCCACGCCAUUAAACAGAGGCUCGGGCGCCAUUAAUGGAUACCUUGGGAGAGAGGUGGACGGCAGAUGGAGGUCAAAGGGCUCUCCUCCCGAUAAGCACGCGCAGAGGUCUGAUCGCACGCCUCUCGUACUCAAAUAGCUACCUUGCACGGUGCCUCCUAGCUAGUAAAAAAUGGGGACGCGUGGCGACACGUAAAUGGUACUAGUAAGUAGAACACCCACGGUUUCAAUAAUACUUGUGUUUCCAAUUGUAAUGUGACACCACUUGUUCCAAAAUGACUUUGUUGAUUGUUAAUGUAUGCGCCUUCACAAAUCAGACUGCAAAUUUACCACAGCAUGUUGGUGCCAUGUCAUGGCACCAAGCCAAGUUUCAUUAUUUUCAUGCGUGUUUUGGAUUUACAGGAAUUAAAAAACUAAGUUCCUCAAUGUUUCCAACCCAGCCACGACGUCCAGAAUUUUGAAUUUCAUUCCCAUUUCUUGCAUGGAACCUAGAAAUUUACCCAAGGACACACAUGUGAUUUUUCAACCAACUUUGGUGCACUAGAACAUGUGCUUGUAUUUCAAAUUUGAAUUAUGCACACAAAGGUGACACGUUCCCUCCCAGAACCACGAGCCUUCUUGAGAGAAGCUCCGAUUUGCAAGAAGCUUAUACCAAAAUUUGUUCCUAUUCGACCAAUUUUUUUACCACGGCAUGGUACUACCAUGACAUGACACCAUGCCAAGUUUCAUGAUUUUAAAACCAAGUUUCUCAAUGUUCUCGACCGAGCCACGAUGCCCAGAUGUUUGAAUUUUAUUCUCAUUUUUUGCAUGGGACCUACUCCCUCCUUCCAUCUAUAUAGGGCCUAAUGUGUUUUUCAAGACAGCCUUUGACUAUUGACAAGAUUAAUAGCACAUGAGAUGUAUACUAUGAAAAUUAUAUUAUUGGAAGCUCCUUUAACAUACAAAAUUGAAGGUAUGCUUUGUGUAAGUUGCAUGUCAUAUAUUAUUGCUCUAACGUUUGGUCAAAGUUAGCCUCGAAAAAUGCAUUAGGACCUAUAUAGAUGGAAGGAGGGAGUAGAAAUUCACCCGAGGACACAAAUGUGAUUUUUCAACCAACUUUGGUUGACGGGAGCAUGUGCUUGUAGUUCAAAUUUGAAGUAUGCACAUUAAAUGACCAAAAAAUUCAAUUAAUGUGUAAAUAAGGCCAAACGAAGCCGGAAUAAUUCCAAAAUUUAACAGGGCACUCAUGUAGUUCUAUGUUGCCUUUGUAAAUAAACUCAAGGGGGACAAUGUAUAUCGUUUCGCACUCAAAGGUGGCACGUUCCCUCUCAAAACCACGAGCCUUCUUGAGAGAAGCUUCGGUUUGCAAAACCUUAUACCAAAAUCUGUUCCUAUUCGGCCAAUUUUUUUACCACAACAUGGUAGUACCAUGACAUGAAAUCCAUGCCAAGUUUCAUGAUUUUCAGACGUGUUUUGGAUUUACAAGAAUUUUAAAACCAAGUUUCUCAAUGUUCUCGGCCGAGCCACGAUGCCCAGAUUUUUUAAUUUUAUUCUCAUUUCUUGCAUGGGACCUAGAAAUUCACCCGAGGACACAAAUGUGAUUUUUCAACCAACUUUGGUGCAAGAGAGCAUGUGCUUGUAGUUCAAAUUUGACUUAUGCACAUUAAAUGACCAGAAACUCAAUUAAUGUAUAAAAAAGACAAACGAACCCGGAAUAAUUCCAAAAUUUAACAGGGCACUAAUGUAGUUCUAUGUUUCCUUUGUUAAGAAACUCAAGGGGGGGGGCAGCAUAUAUCUUUUCACACUCAAAGGUGGCACGUUCCCUCUUAGAACCACGAGCUUCCAAAUCGGCCCAAUUUUUUUUACCACAACAUGUUAGUGCCAUGACAUGACACCAUGCCAAGUUUCAUGAUUUCCAGGCGAGUUUUGGAUUUACAUGAAUUUAAAAUCAAAGUUUCUCGAUGUUCUUAGCCGAGUCAUGACGCCCAGAUGUUUGAAUUUCAUUCUCAUUUCUUCCAUGGGACCUAGAAAUUCAACCAAGGACACACAUGUGAUUUUUCAACCCACUUCGGUGCACCGGAGCAUGUGCAUGCAAUUCAUAUUUAGAUUAUGCACAUUAAAAGUCCAGAAACUCAAUUAAUGUAUAAAAAGGCCAAAUGAACCCGAAAUAAUUCCAAAAUUUAACAGGGCACUCAUAUAGUUCUAUGUUGCCUCUGUAAAUAAAAUCAGGGGGGGAGGCAACUUAUAUCGUUUCGCACACAAAGGUGACACGUUCCCUCUCGGAAUCACGAAGCUUGUUGAGAGAAUCUCCGGUUUUGCAAGAGGCUUAUACCAAAACUUGUCCCAAUUCAGCCAAAAAUUAUACAUAUGAAAACAGGGUUUAGAUUAUCCCAAACAUCUCGCUACCUAGACCAAUAAUGUACUAUGAUUUGAAUUCAACAUAAAAUGGAUACAAAUAUUUGAAUUGGAGAGCGUAUGGUACAUGUAGUUCAUAGUGAAAUGUGAUUACUGUUAUAUGUAUGUUUUUUGUUAUCAAGAUAAUAUUUAAAUUAUUGUAUAACUUGACAACAAUCAUAUUCAAAUAAGGAAAAUUGAUUCAAAUUUAGUCCAUAUGGUAGACGACAAUAUAUAUGUUCACAUGGUGGAGUGAAAUGUUCAUAUAUGAUGGAAGAUCAAAAUGUACGACUACAUCAAUUAUAAACUACAAGGUCACCUAACGAUAUAUUCGAAUUCAACAUAACGUGGAUUGAAAAAUUGAAAUUCGAGAUCAUGGCAUCUGUAAUCAUAUAAAAAGGGACAUUACUCUUUCUUUGGUGGGAAUUGAUUUGUUUUUUGUUGUUGUUGAGGGAAGUGCGAAUCGAUUUGGUACUGUGCAGGGUAAUCUUGUUCUCCCGAUUUUUUUACAUUUUUAUUGUAGUUUUUUCAGUGGCAUCUAUAGCAAUAUAGUAAAAGGGGACAUGACUCUCUUGUGUCUUGUAUGAAUAGUUUUUUACACGUUAAGUUUGUUCUGCCGAACAAGGAAUCCGCACCUUGUUAUCCCGAAAUUUUCAAGCUCGAGUAUCUUUUGUCUCACCUGCUUUGAAACUCCCGCUUCUUCAACCCGCGCCGCGCCUUGUUAUCCCGAAAUUUGGACGCGCGCGAGAACUCCUUCCUCAUCCAAAAUCGCUCCCGCAGCCCAGACACGCGAAAUCCCCCUUCUACCCCUCAGCAGGAAAUGAAGCUCCACGUCGCGGUGUCAAAAUCGGUGGGGGUACGCUGGUAACUUACCCUACAUUUCGGACAAGCGCAUCCCAAAGCUUGGCUCCCCCCUUCGCCCCCCAUUCGUACACCGAGGCCGCCAAAACCCGCGAAACCCCACGCUCCUCUGUCGGCCUCCCGACCGCCGCCCAGCCGGAGACUCUUCCCUGACUACGCCGUCCACCGUAACAGCUCACCGUCCCUCAUCCACCGCACCGGAUGAGGAUCGAUUGUCAAUCUCGUCGUCCCGCUGGAUCAGCCGCCCCGUCCUCCACCUCCAAGGAGCUGCCCCGACGUUCACCUCGUCUAUCGCGCCACCUCAAUCCCCACAGCGCCGUCUUGACCUGCCCCACCGGAACCGCAGCACCCUCACCAAUUCCUUCGAUGAAGCCGAGGCCAACUUGGCGCCACCAAGGAGGUUCUGCACUCACUGCUGCAUUUUAUCUUUUAUUCGAUCUCACGGGGCUGUCGGUGCUCGAUACCGAGCAGACAUGGCGUGUCUCCAUCGACGACGCCGUCGUCGGCCACAUCAUCCACGGCGUCUCUCCCCCAUGUCGUUGCUUCCUCGGCGGUGACUUCCAAAACGGCACUAGCUGCAGCUGCUCCGACUCUCGCUCACGCUGCGGCUAUGUUCUUGCUGUCAGUCGCGCUGCUGCACUGCUCCUGCUUUCGUUCAUGCUGCUGCUCUGCUCUUUCUCUCACUUGCGCUGCUGUUGCUGCUGCAUGACCUCCGGCAGCUACAGGAGUUGCUGCUUUAGCACUCGCUCGCGAUGCUACUGCACGACUUGCUCUCUGCUAGUGCGUUCCCUGCUCGAGCAUCUGCUGAUUUAGAUCACUGCUUCUCUGCUACUAGUGCUCGAAUGCCCUAAACAUCUAUUGCAAUGCUUUGUUACUAGUUCAAUCAGUUUCGACAGUAAAAUUCAGUUUCGACUGUGAAGUUCAUUUUCUUCAGUUAAGUUUAGAGUGAACAGUACUUACAACAUCUGUCAGAGCGGCCGUGGCGCAGCUGGUGCGUUUUACAUCUAACACUUUUUGGUGAUGUAUUUUACAUCAUCUAUUGCAGAUGAUAUUAGGGUCCCACUUCAGAUUAACGUGGUUUGUCUUGUCAUGCUUUAGCCUCAUCGCCGUACACCUUAGCGGAGCUGCUCCAAUGACGGAACCGUCCAUCACAGUGGAGCAGUACCCUCGGCGCCGUUUCCAGAGGCCUCAGAUCUUCUUCCCCAUCUCCGACAGUCACACCAGCAUCAUCACCAUCCUCAACGUCCAACCCAAUGAUGCUGAGGUCCACAAGGCUAUGCCAAAGAGGUUGUACACUCGUCGCAUCACUUUGUUUCUCCAUUCCUCUGUUCUUCCAAUUCAUGUGAGCCAAACACCCAGGUUGGCUGAAAUCCUAUGUUUCCAAAUGCUCUGUUUUGCACGUGCAUUCCUAUCCUAUUCCUGUGUUUUUCCUGUCCCUGCGUUUAUAGAAUCCUCCAAUUCUAAGGAGCCCUUACAGAUUUACUUCAUUUUCAGAUAGGCGUCAAAGAAAAAUCUAUGUGUUAUGUCCUGCUCCUGCCGUGCCAUCAUCCACCCCACCCGAGGUGCACCAUCGACAGAAGCGUUCACUACAGCAGAGAUCCCCCCUGCAGACUUCCUUUCGCCGCCUCAGAUCAUCUUCCCCGUCGCCGGUAGCCACGCCAACUGCAUUACCAUCAUCGACUGAGCAGAUGAACUGAGGACUUCAUAGUUUCGGAAGAGAGGUCGUAGUCUUUCGUGUUUUCUUACGUUAUACAUCGGUUAUUAUUACCUGCUACUUUAUCGUUCAAUCUUGAGUUUUGAAUUGCCCAUGGGUCUCAUAUCGAGCCAACAACGAAUAGUAUCUGUCUACUAUCUGGUUCAUCUGGAGUCUUCUAUGUGGUUCAUGUUGGGUGGACAACAAACAAUAGAUGAUCCAUUGUCUAUCUUUUUAAACUGAAGCUAUAAUCUACCUGCUAUCAUUAGUUUUGGAUCCAUCCACUCGUUUGCUACCAUCAGUCUUGAUUUUUGCAUGCACCCCUUAGGCCUUAGAAAAUCUAACUAUUUUUAUUAUGCAUGUCAGAUAUUGUACACAAUCGUACUGAAAAUGUAGAGAAAAAGAGAAGACCGUUCCGUGCGAAUAUAAUGUCAUGUAGACGCCGCUCCAUAGUGGGCGAAGUGGCCCCCCUCCUGCAUUUCCAGAUUGUAUUCCAGAGGAAGAUAACUGUUCAGAUGGAGAUUCAGAAGGAGCCGACCACGCCUUUUUACACUACUAGGAAAACAGUUUUUAACGAUGGUUUAUGUGGUCGUUAAAGGUUGGAUUGUGGUCGUUAAAGGUCAUUAACGACCACAAUCUGCUAGUCGUAGUAGGCUCCAUCGCUAAAAGUAUAAAGACCACAUACCUUUUGUGGUCGUUAUUCUUGUAACGACAAGAUGGUGUGCGGUCGUCAAUCCCGUGGAAAUAACGACCACAAUUGUCGUCGCUAAUAAUGUUAUCAUGCUAACCAAAGUAUCAUUAGCGACCACUCUCUUCCACACAUUGAUAUCCUUCAGAACCACUUAUAUUCAGUAUAAUUUUGCGUUUAACGAUCACUUUAUGCAGCAUACAACAUUUCAAUAUUAACAUCCAAUUAAUAUAAAAACAAUAGAAUAUGGUUUGAAAGGAUCAUAACCUCUUUUAUUAAUAAAAAUACCAAUAUUCUGACAUACAUUAAAAUAUCCUUUAAGAAACUUCAAGUUGGCUUCUAUGAGAACUAUCACUUAUUGAUAUACUAGACAAUACACUUAUUUUCUAACACCUCUUGCACCAUGCCAUUGAACUUUCCUUCGAGCACUUGCCUCGCUUGCUUGUAGUUUAGAAACCAAUCCCGUUACUUAAUGCUAGUCCUCGCAAUGUCUCUAAUUCCCCACAUACAUAUCUGGAGAUAAAAUAGCAUUGCGAAAUUACUAAACAAAAACACUCUCCAGAAAAACCAAUAUAAAUGUUCAUUUGUACCAAAAAAAUCAAGUAACAACUAGUAAAUAUUUUCUCUUCACUCAUGAGACACCAUCACAAGUCCUUAAAAUCUUUCACCAAUGACUACAAUGCCUCGUGGUGUUACUUUUAAGGUGGACCAUCCGUUCUACAAAAAAACAUUAAUGGCUUAUAUGUUAGUAUGUAUAAAAGAACUAGCAAAGAGGAUAAUAUCAUAAAGGAACAAGUUUGCACUUGAAUUCUUCAAUAGUCCUUAUCCUUAUGCGACAAAGGCAAACUAUUUUAAGCAAAUAUUAAUUGGAAUGUUUCUUUUCUAAUUCAAGAAAAACUUGAGUUAUUUUAUUUCUCAGGAAAAAAAUGAACUUUUUUUGGUUGUUGUUAUAUACCCAACUAAUUUUUUAACAAAUAAACCCAACAAAUUAACACCAAAUAUUCUGUCCAUCUGCUUAAAAAAACUACCAUUCUUCCCGUCAAAAAAACCUACCAUUCUUCUCAGGAGUGAGUAAUAUACGUACCUCAAAACGGCCUCCUAGCUUUUCUUUGUCACCCUGGAGAACAACUUCGAAGUGGUGAGGAUAUGAAAAACACAACACGCAAGGCGACAUCAAUUUUUGAGAAGUUUAAGCUUACAAGAAAAACUUACAAUUACCUCGCCCUGGAGCAUGGGAACUGCACAAUGGACCAUGUACUGAGUGUCUACAAUGGCAAUCUGCUCUUCAGGAUUCUAACAAAUUAAAUCAAAAAAGAGAAGAAAAAAUUAUACAUCAGGUAUACAUGAUUAUAUAUUGCACAUGAUAUCUUUUUACGCGUUGUUGCUUAGUAAUUAGGCUAUGCUUACAUUGACACAUCUCCAGAUGUAGGAGUCAAUAGACCAUCGAUUGACGAGGUCAUUCUGAAAAUCAAACUCGUUAACUCUUCUUUUCAGUUCACACAAGCCAAAAUUAUCAAUCAUGUACGUACAAGUUAAAAAUAAUCAGCAGCCAAACAUAUUGUCCUCACUUUCAGAUCAGGCAUGUCAAAAAACGUCUUUGUUCUGAAAAGUGUAUGCACCUACCUAGAUCAGUGCCACACGAUCUCCAAGCAUCCCUUCACAAGACUGGCGCCAUCACCUCCACAAACCUGCAUCCAGGUUUACAUCUUCACUUUCAAAUUGAAAAAUCUCAAACAAAAAUGGUCAAGUGAAGAAUUUAGUUAGUUAAUUACCUGCUACACGGUAGCCUUUGCACGUCCCAGCAAUGCUCGUCCCCAAUACUUGUCCUGUUCAUGGCAUGACAGAGACUACAACUCGAAUUCAACCUUUGUUUUCGCAUUGAGCAGCAGCUGCACCCUUUCUCCGUCCUAGAUGAGUCCUGCAUCAUAUCCGCCUCUGCCUUCCCCUCGCAUCUAAAGACCUGAAUAAGAACUGCUAGGAAACCAUUAGCGAUCCACUCCAAAUAUCACCAGCCCGCUACGAGAUAUACGGCCGAUGCGGUAGCAACAGUGACCUCAUCACCGAGCUAGAUCCGACCAACACGUAGGAGAAUUGACCUCGUCACUGAACUACUAGAUCUGAUGGAUGCAGAACUAACCUCGGCGUUGAUCCUCUGGACUCUGUUGCGCUGCUCGUCAAGCACCCGACCAGGGGAUCUGGUCCACUCGGACGACCUCGGCAGCAGCGUUGAUCCUCUGUUCCACUCGGAUGACCUAGGUAGCGAGCGCAUCUGGGUCGGCGUCCUGUAACGAGGAGGCGAGGGGACUACGUGGGCAUGUGGCGUUCAUGGCGGUGGUGGCUGCGGCGGCGAGCGGCGAGCGGCUCAAUCUGAGAGGGGAUGCACCAUCGUCGUUUACCUGGAUGCGAGAUUGUAGGGAUAGCUAGAAGUUAUUUUUAUUUAUCUUCCUUUUAUCUCCCUCAUUUCAUCAGAUAAGGACGCUAAUUACUCUAAAAUAAAAGUAUCAAAUAUAUGGAGUAUUAAGCAACAGCGACCACCAAACUAACGACGGGCAUAUCCAUCGCUGUUGGGGAAGUUUCAUGGGUUUAGUUUAAACGUGGGAUUACCUCAUCAUAACAAUAACAACCAAGAUAUGUUAGCUGUUGGUCGUUAUUGGCUUAAUUUCUAGUAGUGUUACCACCUGAGGUGUUUGCUCUAACCUGGCAUGCUGAUGUUGGUCAUAUCAUGCAUAUGACGCCUUGCAUUGCUUACAUUAUACAUCUUAUAUGUCAUCAGCUUAGUUUAGAUUUGCUUUGUGUGAAUGCCACCUGUUUGGUUUCUAUAUCAUACUCCCACCAUUCCUAAAUAUUUGUCUUUUUAGAGAUUUCAACAAGUGACUACAUACGGAACAAAGUGAGUGAAUCUACACUCUAAAAUGUGUCUAUAUACAUCCGUAUGUGGUAGUCCAUUUUAAAUAUAUAAAAAGACAAAUAUUUAGGAACGGAGGGAGUAUAUGGGAAUUAUGCAAUGCCAUCUUCUUUAGCCAGGCAUCAUAUACGUGAAUCAUGCAAUGCCAUCAUGUUUAGCCAGUCAUCAUAUAUGUGAAUUGUAUCGUGCCAUAUUUUUUCCAUAAUGUAUUCCAUUUGUCAACAAUGUUUAUACAUUCAUCUACUCUUCCCGUGCAUCAGCCAUUUGAGUCGGUCAUGGGAAAAUCUGGAGUGAAAACAAGGUCUUCUGAGCAGUCAAUGCUACCUAUCGAUGCAGAUUUCUUGCUAGUUACAGAUAGCUCCCCAGAGGAGGAUUCAGAGAGAGAUGACCAAUCGUAUUCCCCCCCGAGGUGCAUGCUCUAACUUGGCUGGGUUAUAUUGCUCAUAUCAUGCAUAUGGUAUCUUGCAUUGCCAUGCCAUCUUCUUAGAUUAGACAUGCUUUGUGUGAAUGCCUCCUGUUUGCUUUCUAUAUCAGAUAUGUGAAUUAUGCAAUGCCAUGUUUUUCAGCCAGUUAUCAUAUAUGUGAAUUAUGCACCGCCAUGGAGCCAGUCAUCAUAUAUGUGAAUUAUCUCAUGCCAUCUUUUUUUUCAUUACGUAUUCCAUUUGUCGACAAUCUGUGUAUAUUGAACUACUCUUCAUGUGUAUCAGCCAUUUGAGCCUGUUAUGGAAAAAUCUGGAGUGAAAACAAGGUCUUCAGAGCAGGCAAUGGUACCUGUUGAAGCAUAUAUCUCAAUGGUUACAGGGAGCUCCUUAGAGGAGGAUUCAGAGACAGAUGACCAGUCCUAUAUCCCACCUGAGGUGUAUGCUCUAAGUUGAAGUGCUUACAUUUCUCAUAUGAUGCAUAUGGUGUCUUGCAUUGCUUAGUUUAGACAUUAUAUGCACAAUAUUGAAUUCUAUCUGCUUAGUUUAGAGAUCAUACAUGCGAGUGCCAGCUGCUUAGUAUAUGUAUCAAUUAUAUCAUGCCAUCCUGUAUACUUAGACAACAUGUAUGUGAAUUAUUUCAUCCCAACCUAUUUUAGAAAGACAUCAUAUAGUUUUGUCAUGUCAUCCUGUUUAGGUACUCAUCAUAUGUUGAAUUAUGCCAUUAUAUCCUGUUAAGUUAUCCAUCAUAUAUCUGAAACUGUGUCAUGCUAUCCUGUUUAGUUAGGCAUCAUAUAUGUGAAAUUGUGUCAUGCUGUCCUGUUUGGUUAGACAACAUAUAUGUGAAUUACCACAUCUGUCUAUCAUACAAUGUCUGUACGUUCAAUUUCUUUUCUUGUUUAUCAGCCAUUUGAAUUGGAGGGGGUGAUGGCAGUAUCUAAGGGAGCAAAAACCCGUUCUUCACAAAAGACAGUGCUACCCAUCGAUGCAGAUAGAACCAUGGUUGUACUGGCCCACAAACUAGCCCCACCACACAUAAUCGAGACUCUUCCAGAUUGCACACUUACACCGUUGGGCAGAGAACCAGUUACAACCCAUCUAACCGCAACCCCAACGGAUAGUAACCCACUUAUAGUUGACAAAGCACCAUGUCCACCAUAGAGUACCCCCACACGAGCAGUUUGUAAAGCUACUGCAGUGCCCAAAGCACGAAGACCACCACAGCUAACCCAAACUCCAUGUUUAAAGCAGAAGAGCAACUAUUCUCAAGUCAGAUUUCGUAGCUAUGGUCCAUACUCCUUUGCUAUUGCAUCACUGUAUUUACUCAUACCAACUACUUUUGAAUUUGAAGGAUCCAAUUGAAACUCCAAUGGCGCAACAGGUAUGUUUUAAACCUAUUUCUUUAACUAGAUUGCUGUUCUAACUUCUUGCUCUAUGUUGAUUUCAGUUUAAGUUGUAUAAACAGUUAUGUUCUCAUGUGAUGCACAUUACAAGUGCUACCAAUGCUGUGUAGUUUCUCACACUUAUAUUCUAUCUAUGCUGCUGUGUCUUAAAAAUAUAUGAGUUGAACUGUGUCUCUAUCUUGAUUAGGGAACAUAAACUAGAAUGAUAUGGACAAUACAGUGACCAUAGUACAUAGAUAUAUGUUUGUUUCAUGUUGUUAUCCUGUCCACCUUACUACUGAACCAGUUUACCAAAAUGAGUUUCGUAUACUACAAGCUAAACCUGUGAUGUGUCUGCUUGUUUCUCUUGUAGUAUGCAAAUAGAAUAUUGGAGAAGAGCACCCCACUAUGCAAUGGUAGAGAAAGUAAUGCAGAUAAGGUUCAAGAUAGUGAGACAACCCUGUUGGUCUCCAAGAAAGGUGAUAAAAACGAUCUUGUAGACAGUGAGAAAACCCCACAGUCCUGCGUUGAUGUAGUGUUUGAGUUACUGGCCAGUACCGCUGGCACAAGCUCUUCGAACUCGCUGCCUGAAUCACUUCGGCUUCUUCAGUCUCAGCUACAAGCUGAAAGGCAUCAGUCAGCUGUGCUGCGGCAAGAAGCCGAAGGACUGAGGAAGUCCCUGCAGAAUUCAGAUGCGUACUUUCUUGUGCAACAGCAAGCGCUGGAGGAUUUAAGCACCAACCAAGAGAAAGUUAAUAAGCUUGCUAAGCAUCUUGCCAGCAUUAUGGGUACCCAGGAUAUUGUUUCUUGAACUCUUCUGAAGUGAUUUCAGUUCUGGACUUGUUUUGCUGCGGCGUUUAUAUGCUGCUUUGUUCCCUAUAUCUACACUGGUGGCGAACUUUGAUGCCCAGUGGAUGUAAUAUCUGUAAUAGCUGUGAUAGCCUAGCAUAAGUUGCUUGCUUAUUUAUUUCCUUGUUGUUUUGUUUAUUUGUUUGCUUGUAGUCAGUGCAGUUCUUUUUCCGCGGUUUGCUAGUGGCUGCAAUAACCUAUUUUUUAAAACUAGGCCACAAUAACCAUGGGCUAAUAUUUACUGUAGUGACACUGGGCCUCCUACGGGCCGUAGAAACAGUGGGCCUUCCACGGGCCGUAGAAAUAGUAGGCCUUCUACGGGCCAUAGAAACAAUGGGCUUUCUACGGGCCGUAGAAACAAUGGGCUUUCUACGGGUCGUAUCAUCAAUGGGCCUUAUACGGGUCGUAUGAUCGAUUGGCCAAACAUGGGCCAAUAACAGGCCGCAUUAUGGCCGUAAACGGGCUAGAGUUGGAAUCAUCCGUUCAUGGGCCGACCAUAACGGGCCAUCGUUAAUAGGCCGUAUUUGAUGAUAGUAUGAAAAUGUCCCAACGUAUUAAUGGACCAUAAACGGGCCGACUGUAACCACGUCCUGAAUUUGGCCCACAAGCAGAAAAUGACAGUAACAGGCCGUAAGUAAAUGAAUGCUGGAAAUGAGCCCAAGAAUAAAUGGGCUCUAAGAAGGCCGAAAGAUAACAUGGGCUGGAAACGGCCCAACGAAAUAACGGGCCGUUAAUGGGUAUAAAGUGAUACACUGUUCAUUAUGGGCCAGUUUCACCACGGGCCGUUAAUGGGUGUAAAGUGAUACACUAUUCAUUACGGGCCAGUUGCACCACGGGCCGUUAAUAGGCCAAGAGUUACAUAGGGCCUCAUAUGGGCCGAAAGACGUCAUGGGCCAGAAGUGAAAAUGGGCUAGAAUCAUAUUGGAUGGCCCAGAUGACGCUACUGGGCCUAAUUCGGAUAGGGCGUAACGGUCCUUGGGUUAGCGGGCUGUAAAUGGGCUAUAUGCGAACAAGCCAUUAAUAGGUUUUCCAUGGGCCGGCCCGCCACCUUUUGACCAAGUCAAACGGGCUGGCCUUUUCACAUGAAUGGGCCUCUGUUGGGCCGUGCCACAUGUCGACGUAUCAUAGGCGCCUUCUGUCCAAUGAGUGGAUGACAUUUGUCCCAACGAUGAGCCGACAUGUGUUUCCUCCAGCCAAUGAUGAUUUUACACGUGGAAAAUCCCCAUUGGUCGGGGCUGUUAACGGGUUAUCGGAUCCAAAACCCGACCCGAUAGCUUAAUGGCAUUCCGUUACGGUGGGUGCCACAUGUCGGUCACCCUUGACGAAAGCACUUCUGUGACGCGCGAUUUAUCGUCAUGGAAGUGCACACUUCCGUGAUGAUAAUUUUGGUAAUGUCAUGGAACACUUCUACAACAACACAUGUAUGACUAUCUUGAUUCUGUCAUAAAAUCGUCAUGGAUGUACAUGCAUGACAAAAAACGCAACCUACUGUGACAAACACGUAUCAUCACGGAAGUGUAUUUUUUUUGUAGUGCUAUUACCCUACCCUAGGUACAUGUCAUUGUCAUUAUCCCCCGAAUGGAUCGAGGUCUGAGGGGAGAAGAGGUUGGAGAUGGUUCCGACCCAAUUUUUAUGCUUCAGAGGCAUCUCACUUGGGUUGGCGAACCACGUUGGAACUUCAACUUUAUUUUUAGUCGCCUUGAUCCAUUCAGAAUUUGUCGAGUGAAUUCAUUCUGGAAUGCUUCGAGUGUUGGAGUAGAACAAAAUCGUUGGCGUGACUGAUUGCGCUACCAUUACCGGAUCUCACGGGAUUCAAAAUUUUGGGAAGCGCGUGGGACGGAGAGCGCCGCAGUAAUCGGGACGGAUUAGGCAGGGGCGCCUCGAUCUCCAUGCCGCCUUUUUUGUCACAUACCGAGUGCGUGCCUGUUGCGGGAUUGGACAAGAUUUCUCGGGCCCGCAUGUAAGUCACUCGGAAAGGGGCAAAUAAAAGGCUCCGCGGCUUGUGCGUCUGCACAACACAUCCCAUUCUCCUUCUCAUUCCUCUGUUUCUUCACCUCGUCCUUCGCCGCUCUUGACACCUCCGCACCACCCGUGAGCAGUCCGCGACGAUGGGGAAGGAAAAGACUAUGGAUCUAGAGCGCGCCAAGAAGACGACAUCGAUGGGGAAGUCGAAGGGAAAGAAGAUGAGUCGGGGGGGAUCUUCCUCGAGGUCCGGCCCACCACCCAGCUGGAUCUAGGGCGACUGGAUUCGCUCCACGAUUCAGCUGUAGGAUGUGGAGGAUUUGUCUGCAGGGGACUUGAUCGCCCAUGAAUCUUGGAGGCUUCCUGGCAACAAGACCGAGCCGCAGCUACAGGAGGGUGAGUGCGUCCUCCUUGUGACUCACGUUGACCGUGGUUUCUCUCUGCGUCCCCAUCCUUUCUUCCGGGGUUUUCUGAAAUUCUUUGGAGCCCAACUUCAUCACUUUACCCCCAACACCAUCACGUACCCCGCUGCGUUCAUUUCCAUGUGUGAAAAUUUCUUGGGUUGUCGACCGCAUUGGGUUCUCUUCAAACACAUCUUCACUUGUCGCUCUCACUCUGUGAAAAAAGCUAAUCCGAAUGACGAGAAGACUCAUGUGGUCCAUAUGUGUGGAGGUCUAGGUAUUCAGAUGAGAAGCAAAAGUGCUUUUCCAGCUAUGAUCCUUCCCGAGUCAGUUAGAGGGUGGCAGUCGACCUGGUUCUACUGCAAGGACCAACCGACUCCUGGUUAGUCGACCGGUCUCCCUUCCUUCUCCAUGGAGCGAGUCCAACAACCCACUUCUUUGAAAGUAACUCCAGCAGAGAGAGCAGAGUUGAACAUGCUGAUGGAGCGAGUAGUCCAAUUAGUUAGAGAUGGCGUGACUGGUAUGGACUUGCUGGAAGUGUUUCUCAGUCGACCCGUCCACCCACUCCAGGCCCACGAUCAUCCUCUAUGGAUGUACUUGGGCAUUGAGGACACCACUCAGAUCCACCCGAAGGAGGUCACCGAAGAGACGGUGGAGCUGUGGUUGCAGGGCAUCACUGGAAACAAAGAUAACCCCCGGGGGUCCAGAAGAGUCCAACCAUUCUGCGCUGGCCAUGAACCUGAAAAGGUCUAUCCUUUACUGUCAAGUGUUUCUUCAUUCUGAUUUGCAACUGUCUUCGUGCCCGACUGAUGUCUAUGUUAUUCUUUGUCUUGCAGAUUUACACUGAUACAUACUCAAUGCCCAAUGGAGAGCAGGACCAAGAGGGAGAGGUGAGUGGGGGCGAAAGUGGCAAUUGGAAAUCCCGUGACGAGGACGGGGAGGAGAGUGAGGACUCAAGCGACGGCGAGGAGGUCGACUCUCCACCUUGCACUAAAAGGCAUUCCAAGUAGACCCAUUACCCCGUGAGCAUCUGCGGCAAGGCAGUCAUGCAGACCUCGAAGCGCACUCGAACUUCCUCCCCCGUUCCAACUAAGAAGGCGCCGAAGCAACCCAAGAUUGCAGCUCCUAAGCCUCGGAAGACCCCGCCCAAGAUCAAGAUUGAUGUUCCUAUCGCCUCCGGGUAAGUGUUUUGUUUUGUCCUUUUAAUCAAGAACUUCCUAAGUAGCCGUCGACUCACUUUCUUGCUUGACCGAGUGAGUUUGGGAACUUGCAAUGCUGCUACUUCUGGGACUUCUGUGGAUAUUUACAGGAAUGAGGAUGAUGCGGAAAUGGAAGAUGCGGCCACCUCCAAAGAAGGUGUGACUCUGCCAUCUUGCCUCCAAUUUGUCAAUUGAUUUGCAGGUCGACUGAUAUAUUACGGUCGAAACUUUUGUAGUGCUGCAACAUGUGAUUAAACCUCCAGACGACGAUGAAGAUGUGCCUCUGAGGCCUAUGGUAAGGAGAAGUAGGAUCUCGGGCAGGAAGGUGCUGACCGGCAAGACAGCUCAGACGACAUCAGUGCCCGAACCGGUGAUCCAACAUACUAGAGACCUCAAUCGGGCCUUUGUCACUUUUGCCGAUCCUGUGUUGACCGAACGUCCAUCAGAGUCGACUGCACAAGAUCUUGCUUCAUCUGUUCAACUCCAUACUUCAGAUCCUCAGAUUGCUGCGAAUAAUCCACCGUCUCCGCUGUUCGUCACCCAUCAUGUCCUGGAGGAUCAGGCGAGCACUGCUAAAGAAGCUAUACGCCAAGCAUGCCUGAUGAUGGAGCGGAUGAAGAUGGUGCGUGAGACUAGCCAAGCCGCCUAUGACACCAGUGCAGCUCUCCAAGCCAACGUCCAGGUUAGUUGAUUUCCGACUGAUCUUCUAACUUGAUACUAGAGAACUGCUGCUUUCUUACUCGUAAGAUGUCCGUGGAUGAGCUGAACUUUCGAAUCAGUGGGGGCACGCAGAGUGCACCCACUGGGUGUAGUCCCCGAGACCAUCGUCGAAUGUUUGAUUCGGCGGGGGUCUUAGAUCUUUGUUGAUAAUAAAUCCACUCGGUCUCGAAUGGAUCCUGUCGAGUGAACUCUUAAACCAGUGGGGGCACGCCAAGUGCACCCACUAGGUGUAGUCCCCGAGACCGCGGUCGACUGCGGGCAGUUGGCGGUGCUAUGAGAUCCAAUAUUGUUGUUUCUUUUCUCUCUUUUUUGGGCGACUUGACUGAUCAAGUCGAGUACCGAACCAAACCAGUGGGGGCACGCGAAGUGCACCCACUGGGUGUAGUCCCUGAGACUACUGUUGAAUGUUUGAUUCUGCAGUAGUCUUAGAACUCUUUUCAUCACUCGGGAGCAAAUAAUCUUUGAUUCUGUCAACUGAUAUAUCUUAUUUACUAACUUCAGAAAUCCUGUGAGAUCAUAUCCCAAUUUGCUGAAUUCGAGAGGAAGCAGAUCCAGCUCAAUCUUGACCUGGACUUGGCCAAGCAAAACUUGCAGAAGGCCAAGGACAAAACAACUAGUAUGGAAGGUAAAAACUUGCCGACUGUGAGAUUGGACUGUCUCCCGAGUCAUCUUUCCGUUCUUCUUUCUAAACCAAGUGUUGUUCAUUAUUUUUUAGAGAAAAUGAGGCAGGCUCUGGCAUAGAAGGACCUUGAUCUUGCAGCGGCAUAGAAAGAGGCCGAAGAGAAAACAACACUUGCCGGUGAGAAGUUGGCUUCAAUCGGGACAUUAGAGGAAGACAACGCCAAGCUAAAGACUACUCUUGCGGAAGCUAACAAGGAAGUGACACGUCUGAACAAGGACAAGGUAGCCUUGAAUGACAAGAUUGAAGAUCUCUCUCGGAAGAGGAAUGAGCUGGAGGCUUAUCUGGGGGGACUCGCCAAGAAGUUAUUCCUCAUGCUUGAAGGUAUUUUCUCCUGGUCGACUGGUUUCUCUUGACAGUUGUUGAUUCCUCAGACGGCUCUUCGACUCAUUAUUUUACUGUGCUGUGCAGAAUUUUGCCAAAACUUCGAAGAAGAGACUGGGCAGAUCGAAACUAACUUGGACCCGAUCAACUCUCCUGUUAAGGAUGAAGCCGCCAUGAACAUACUCUGACUGGAAUCUCGUCUUGCCAGCGUCGUGGAUUAUCUGGCCUGACUGAAGGUAGCAGUUUCCUGAGUCGACAUGGCACUUUGGCCGAAGGAGAGGUUCCGGAAUGACCUCGAGUCUCUGAUGGAUCGACUUAAUGAGAUCGCCGGCUGAGUGCAAGCAUGGAAGAAGGCCUCCGCCCGAUGUGUUGCUGAUGUGGCUUUGUGCCUGGUUGUCCACUUCAAAGAGGCCAAGGAAGAAAAGCUGGCAGCACUCAAGGUUGCCAACACCAAAUAUCGCCAGUUCCAGUCCUUCAUGGAGACCUUCAUUGAAGCAGCCACUCGCAUCACGGACGGAAUUGACUUGGAUGAGUUCGUCGAGCCAGCCAGUCCUCAUCCAUAGGAGUGAACAAACUUUAAGCCUUAAUUAAAUUUGCCUCGGAAUGCCGAGUGAUUUUGUAACCGUUAAAACUCCUCUGGGCCUGAUGCUUGGGCACUUUUAUCUAUGGUUCUAAACCCUGCGAGAUUUAUCUGAACUUUGUUUUUCUUUUAAUAUGUUUUUCUUCACCUUUGCUACUUUUGAAUCUCUUGACUUCGAGUGAAACUUGAUUCUUCAGUCAGAAUGGUCACUGACUUUGUGAUGCAGCUCUGUCGAGUGGGUCAUGGACAAGGGCAUUUGGUGCUGUGCACGACCUGCACUUCAUUGUCCCUGCGGAUCGGGAUGGAGCAGACAUUGUACUUGUGGCGCAGCUCCGUCGAGUGGGUCAUGGACAAGAGCACUAGGUGUUGUGCAUGACCUGCACUUCGUCGUCCUUGUGGAUCGGGAUGGAGCGGACGUUGUACUUGUGGCGCAGCUCCGUCGAGUGGGUCAUGGACAAGAGCACUAGGUGUUGUGCACGACCUGCACUUCAUCGUCCUUGCGGAUAUGGAUGGUUUUUAACUUAGGCGAGUACGAGACUGCAGGUAAGCCUCCGAGUGGGAGGAUUGCUCUCCACUCGGUAGGAUUUUAGAAACUUAGGCGACUACAUGACUGCAGCUAAGCCUUCGAGUGGGAGGAUUGCUCUCCACUCGAUAGGAUUUUAGAAACUUAGGCGAGUACGUGACUGCAGCUAAGCCUCCGAGUGGGAGGAUUGCUUUCCACUCGGUAGGAUUUUAGAAACUUAGGCAAGUACGUGACUGCAGCUAAGCCUCCGAGUGGGAGGAUUUCUCUCCACUUGGUAGGAAUUUAGAAACUUAGGCGAGUACGUGACUGCAGCUAAGNNNNNNNNNNNNNNNNNNNNNNNNNNNNNNNNNNNNNNNNNNNNNNNNNNNNNNNNNNNNNNNNNNNNNNNNNNNNNNNNNNNNNNNNNNNNNNNNNNNNNNNNNNNNNNNNNNNNNNNNNNNNNNNNNNNNNNNNNNNNNNNNNNNNNNNNNNNNNNNNNNNNNNNNNNNNNNNNNNNNNNNNNNNNNNNNNNNNNNNNNNNNNNNNNNNNNNNNNNNNNNNNNNNNNNNNNNNNNNNNNNNNNNNNNNNNNNNNNNNNNNNNNNNNNNNNNNNNNNNNNNNNNNNNNNNNNNNNNNNNNNNNNNNNNNNNNNNNNNNNNNNNNNNNNNNNNNNNNNNNNNNNNNNNNNNNNAUUUUUAGAAACUUAGGAGAGUACGGGACUGCAGCUAAGCCCCCGAGUGGAAGGAUUGCUCUCCACUCGAUAGGAUUUUUAGAAACUUAGGCGAAUCAGGUUCGCAGCUAAGCCCCCAAGUGGAAGGAUUGCUCUCCACUCGGUAGGAUUUUUAGAAACUUAGGCGAAUCAGGUUCGCGGCUAAGCCCCCGAGUGGAAGGAUUGCUCUCCACUCGGUAGGAUUUUUAGAAACUUAGGCGAAUCAGGUUCACGGCUAAGCCCCCGAGUGGAGAGAUGGCUCUCCACUCGGAGUAGUUUUUGGAACUUAGGCGAAUCGGGUUCGCGCUAAGCCACCCACUGGGGGAUUCGAACAUGUAACUUGACAGGAUAACAAGUAUUAAGGCACUACAAAAUUUUUGUCUUUGAUAAGCAAACUGAACGAUUCUUAUUACAACUCAUUGACCCGAGUGCCUAAGUGUUAAAAUGGCGGAGCAGAUCCGCGUUCCAAGCGCGUGGCUCGUCUUUCUUGUGUUCAACAUUGUAAAGGUGAUAUGCUCCAUCGUGGAGCACCUUGGUGAUGAUGAAGGGACCUUCCCAAGCAGGAGCCAGCUUGUGAGGCCGUUGCUGAUCCACUCGGAGCACCAAAUCUCGUUCCUGAAAUGCCCGACCUCUCACGUUUCUGGCAUGGAAUUGAUGGAGGUCUUGCUCAUAAAUGGUCGAUCGAAUCAAGGACAUAUCUCUCUCUUCUUCCAAGAGGUCAACAGCAUCUUGCUGUGCCUGCUCUGCUUCAGCCUCUAAGAGAAGUUCCACUGGGGGCGCAUUGUGAAGCAAAUCGCUUGGCAGCACAGCUUCAGCCCCAUAGACCAUGAAGAAGGGAGUCCGACCAGUCGACCGAUUUGGCGUUGUUCUCAACCCCCAAAGGACGGAGGAAACUCAUCUACCCAAGCGCCUGCUGCAUGCUUGAGGUCACGCAUCAACCGGGGUUUCAGCCCUUGGAGGGUCAAACCAUUUGUUCUCUCUGCCUGCCCACUCGAUUGCAGAUGCGCGACAUACGCAUAGUCGACCUGAGUUCCUUGGGAGGCACAGAAUGCUCUGAACUCAUCAUAAUCAAAGUUGGAGCCAUUGUACGUGAUAAUACUACGAGGGACUCCAUAUCUGAAUGUCAGCUCUCUGAUGAAACUGAUGGAAGUGCUUGAAUUGAGACUCUUGAUAGGCUUGGCUUCGAUCCAUUUAGUGAACUUGUCGACUGCUACAAGCAAACGAGUGAAACCACUUCUGCCGGUCCUCAGGGGUCCAACCAUAUCCAAUCCCCAAACAGCAAAUGGCCAGAUGAGUGGAAUGGUCUUCAAGGCUGAAGCAGGUUUGUGGGACAUGUUGGAGUAGAACUGGCAGCCCUCACACUUGUCGACUAUUUCCUUUGCCAUUUCAUUUGCACGCGCCAGUAAAAACCUGCUCGGUAUGCUUUGGCCAUGAUUAUCCGAGAGGACGCAUGGUGACCACAGGUCCCCGAGUGGAUAUCAUUGAGAAUCAUUCGACCUUCUUCCGUUGUAAUGCAUCGUUGAGCAGCUCCAGUCACACUCUCUCUGUACAGUCGUCCACCUAUCAUGGCGAGGGCUUUGGAUCGACGGACGAUCUGACGGGCCUCAUCCUCAUCUUCUGGGAGCUUUUUUCUAAGUAUGUAUGCAACAUAUGCCACCGUCCAAUCAGGGGUGAUGACCAAAACCUCCAUGAUCAGAUUGACCAUGGCUGGGAUUUCAACUUCAGUCGAGUCUGUGGAACUUUUCGGUUGUGGGGGCUCUUCUGAGAAAGGAUCUUCUUGAACUGAUGGGGUGUGGAGAUGCUCCAAAAACACAUUGUUGGGAAUAGGCUCGCGAUUGGAGCCUAUCUUCACUAGAUCAUCAGCUGCUUGAUUCUUGACUUGGGGUACGUGGUGGAACUCUAACCCCUCAAACUUCUUUUCCAACUUCCUCACUACAUUGCAAUAGCCAGUCAUAGCUGGGCUCCUGAUAUCCCAUUCCUUCAUCACUUGAUUGACCACUAAAUCUGAGUCGUCGUGAACCAUUAGGCGACGGACACCGAGUGAAAUGGCCAUACGCAACCCGUACAAAAGUGCCUCAUAUUCAGCCUCAUUGUUGGAGGAAUCAAAGUGAAUCUAGAGAACAUAACUGAGAUUGUCACCUCGCGGGGAUACCAGGACUACACCAGCACCAGAACCAUUCAGCAUCUUGGACCCAUCAAAGAACAUAGUCCAAUUUUCCGAGUGAACCUGAGUCGGUUGAUGCUGCUCACUCCACUCGGCGAAGAAAUCUGCUAUUGCUUGGGACUUGAUUGCUUUCUUUGCCUCAAACUUGAUAUCUAACGGAAGAAGUUCAAUUGCCCAUUUCGCCACUCGACCAGUUGCAUCUCUGUUGUUCAGAAUUUCUGAUAAUGGAGCAUCACUGACAACUGAAACCGAGUGAGCUGAGAAGUAAUGUGCAACUUUCUUUGUCGUUAAAUAAAUUCCAUAAACCAACUUCUGAUAAUGAGGAUAUAUCUGCUUGGACGGAGUUAAGACUUCAGAAAUAUAAUACACUGGGUGCUGAACUUUGUAGGCUUUGCCUUCUUCUUCCCGCUCGACCGUGAGCACCAUACUGACAACUUGUCUAGUGGCUGCGAUAUAAAGCAGUAAAGGGUCUUUGCUGAUUGGAGCAGCAAGCACUGGCUGGGUGGAAAGUAGGGUUUUGAGCUCUGCAAACGCUGCGUCAGCUUCAAGAGUCCACUCGAACUUGUCAGAUUUCUUCAUCAGUCGGUAAAGAGGCAAUGCCUUUUCACCGAGACGAGAAAUGAAUCGGCUCAGUGCGGCCAGGCAACCAGUAAGCUUCUGGACAUCAUUCACAUGCACAGGGCGUUUCAUUCGGAGGAUUGCACCAACUUUUUCUGGGUUUGCAUCGAUCCCUUGUUCGGAAAUGAGAAAACCGAGUAACUUUCCUCCUGGGACUCCGAAUGUGCACUUUGAUGGAUUAAGCUUGAUAUCGUUCCUUCUCACAUUGGCAAAGAUUUCGGCGAGGUCAGUCAGUAGGUCGGAACCUUUACGUGACUUGACCAUGAUGUCAUCCAUGUAUGCUUCCACAUUCCGACUGAUUUGAGUGAGCAGGCACUUCUGAGUUAUGCGCAUGAAUGUGGCACCAGCAUUCUUGAGACCAAAGGGCAUGGUAACAUAGCAAAAGCACCCGAAUGGGGUGAUAAAAGAUGUUUUUUAUUUCAUCAGGACCAUACAGUCGGAUCUAAUGGUACCCGGAAUAAGCGUCCAAAAAGGACAAACGCUCGCAUCCCGCAGUCGAGUCAACAAUUUGAUCGAUGCGGGGCAGAGGGAAAUGAUCCUUUGGGCAGGCCUGAUUGAUAUGCUUGAAGUCGAUGCACAUGCGAAGUGAAUCGUCUUUCUUGGGGACCAUGACAACAUUGGCGAGCCACUAGGAGUGGUAUAUCUUGCGGAUGAACUCAGCUGCCAGAAGCCGAGCCACCUCCUCACCAAUUGCCUUCCUCUUCUCCACGGUGAACCGACGGAGAUGCUCUUUGACAUGUUUUUCUUUCGGGUCGACUCGCAAACAGUGCUCAGCCAGUCCCCUGGGUACACCUGGAAUGUCAGAAGGUUUCCUUGCAAAGAUGUCCCAGUUCUAAUGGAGGAACUGGAUGAGCGCUUAUUCCUAUUUGCUGUCGAGUGUUGUUGAGAUAUGAGUCGGAGCAACACUAGAAUCGGUCGAGUGAACAUGAACUUGCUUUGUUUCACUAGACGACUGAAAUGAAGAUUCUGAAGCAGGCUUCUUGGCAUGUAGCAAAUCACUCGGAUCUGCAUUCUUCUAGUACUCUUGCAUUUCCGUUGCUGCCAUCUGUUCAUCGACAAUCUUUGAGCCCUUCUGGAAACACUCAUCCGCUCUCUACCAAUUACCAGUGAUUGUGAUCACACCUUUGGGACCAGGCAUCUUCAGCUUGAGGUACACAUAACAUGGUCGAGCCAUGAAGCGGGCAUAUGUAGGCCUGCCCAGAAUAGCAUGAUAAGCACUGUGAAAAUCCACAACUUCAAAUGUCAACUUUUCCUUGCGAUAAUUCUUCGAAUCGCCGAAAACCACGUCAAGAAUGAUCUGUCCGAGUGAAUCAGCUUUUUUCCUAGGGAUGACAUCGUGGAAGCGCAUAUUCCUUUCACUGAGUUUGGACAUCGGGGUGCCCAUCUCUCGGAGAGUCUCGGCAUACAAAAUGUUCAAGCCACUGCCACCAUCCAUCAGGACCUUGGUCAAUCGAGUGCCCCCAAUGACUGGGUCGACCACCAACGCUUGCCGCCCCGGGGUAGCAACAUGUGCCGGAUGGUCAGAUUGGUCGAAUGUAAUGGGAGUCUUAGACCACUUCAAAUAUGUUGGCGUUGCCAGGGCAACCAAGUUCACUUCCCUAUUAAUGACUUUCAGUCGACUUUCGCUCUCAAGGUCAGCAAAAAUCACCAAAGUGUCAUUGAUGUUGGGGAAACCAUCAUCUUCCUCUUUGUCUUCGUCCUUAUCAGACUCUUUCUCUUUCUCUUUGGGCUGGCCCUCUUGGAAUUGCUGGUUAAGAGCAUCUCCAGCCAUUGGCCCCCUAGGCGGCAAUUUUACGCGCCCCCUGGGGGCGAGCCGGCGCUAAAAUCGCCGCAGGGGCAAGAGGGUUCCCAGCCGCUCGCCCAGGGUCGCCCCAGACGCGUUUUUUCAAGCUGAAUUCGGUGAAGUUUGGCUAAAAUUCGGCAAACUUGAUAUUCAUAUUAAACAUGUUCGGCAUUUUACAUAAAUUAUUAAAAAAACUAAUCUACGGGGCGAAGAACUCAAUCAGCGCAGCGAAGUCGUUGACAUCGCCGCCGCCAUCCUCCUCGUCGUCGGCGGCCUUCUCCUUCUUGAUGGCGCGGCCGCCCCUGCCGGACCCCUGCCCGGCGUCUCCAUGGCGGACAAGCGGUGGCGGUGCGUCAUUGUCGUUGCUGUCUGAUACGUCUCUGUCGUAUAUACUUUUCCAAACACUUUUGCCCUUUUUUGGACUCUAACUUGCAUGAUUUGAAUGGAACUUACCUGGACUGACGCUGUUUUCAGCAGAAUUGCCAUGGUGUUACUUAUGUGCAGAAACAAAAGUUCUCGGAAUGACCUGAAACUUCACGGAGAUUAUUUUUGGAAAUAAUAAAAAAUACUGGCAAAAGAUCAAGACAAGAGGGCCCACACCCUAGCCACGAGGGUGGGGGGCGCGCCUGCCCCCCUGGGCGCGCCCCCUACCUCGUGGACCCCCUGGACCUCCUCCGACCUCAACUCCAACUCUAUAUAUUCGUGUUCGGAGAGAAAAAAAUCAGAGAGAAAGAUUCAUCGCGUUUUACGAUACGGAGCCGCAGCCAAGCCCUAAACUCUCUCGGGAGGGCUGAUCUGGAGUCCGUUCGGGGCUCCGGAGAGGGGAAUUUGUCGCCAUCGUCAUCAUCAACCAUCCUCCAUCACCAAUUUCAUGAUGCUCACCGCCGUGCGUGAGUAAUUCCAUCGUAGGUUUGCUGGACGGUGAUGGGUUGGAUGAGAUUUAUCAUGUAAUCGGGUUAGUUUUGUUAGGGUUUGAUCCCUAGUAUCCACUAUGUUCUGAGAUUGAUGUUGCUAUGACUUUGCUAUGCUUAAUGCUUGUCACUAGGGCCCGAGUGCCAUGAUUUCAGAUAUGAACCUAUUAUGUUUUCAUCAAUAUAUGAGAGUUGUUGAUCCUAUCUUGCGAGUCUAUAGUCACCUACUAUGUGUUAUGAUCAGGCAACCCCGAAGUGACAAUAAUCAGGACUAGUUUCGGUGAUGACCGUAGUUUGAGGAGUUCAUGUAUUCACUAUGUGUUAAUGCUUUGGUCCGGUACUCUAUUAAAAGGAGGCCUUAAUAUCCCUUAGUUUCCACUAGGACCCCGCUGCCACAGGAGGGUAGGACAAAAGAUGCCAUGCAAGUUCUUUUCCAUAAGCACGUAUGACUAUAUUCGGAAUACAUGCCUACAUUAUAUUGAUGAAUUGGAGCUAGUUUUGUGUCACCCUAGGUUAUGACUGUUACAUGAUGAACCACAUCCGGCAUAAUUCUCCAUCACUGAUCCAUUGCCUACGGGCUUUUCAUAUAUUGUUCUUCCCUUAUUUACUUUUCCGUUGCUAUUGUUACAAUCACUGAAAAAUACCAAAAACAUUACUUUUGCUAUCGUUACCACUACUAUCAUAUUAAUUUUCUACUAAAUACCUUGCUACAGAUAUUAAGUUUCCAGGUGCGGUUGAAUUGACAACUCAGAUGCUAAUACUUGAGAAUAUUCUUUGGCUCCCCUUGUGUCGAAUCAAUAAAUUUGGGUUGAAUACUCUACCCUUGAAAACUGUUGCGAUUCCCUAUACUUGUGGGUUAUCAAGACUAUUUUCUGGCGCCGUUGCCGGGGAGCAUAGCUCUAUUCUUUGAGUCACUUGGGAUUUAUAUAUGCUUAUCAUUAUGAAGAACUUGAGAGAUCCAAAAACCAAGAUUUAUCCCUCAACUACGAGGGAAGGUAAGGAACUGCCAUCUAGCUCUGCACUUGAUUCACCUUCUGUUUUGAGUAAGCUUGCGACACCUAAACUUGCUUCUUCUAUUGAUUCUGAUAUGUUGCAUAUUAUUGAUGAUGCCACUUCUGCUAUGCAUGAUACUUAUGAUGAAACUAGUUCUACGCUUGAUACAAUUGUGCCCCUUGGUGAAUUUCUUGAUGAACAACUCGCUAGGGCUAGAGAGAAUGAAAUUAUUGAAAAUGAUAAUACUGAUGAAAGUGAUUAUGAAGGCUCUCCUAAUAAAUAUGAAUUACCUGAUGUGCCUGAGGACUAUGUUAUGGAUGAAGAAACUAAAAGAGACUUUCUUGCUUGCAACGAUAGAAGUGAUCUUAAGAAAUUAUUAGCUAAGCUUAAAAAAAACUCUGAAUGCUAGAAUGAAAUAUGAUCCUGCUUAUUCUACUUCACCUAUCUUUGUUACUGAUAAGGAUUAUGAAUUCUCUAUUGAUCCUAAUAUAAUUACUUUGGUUGAAUCUGAUCCUUUUUAUGGCUAUGAAUCUGAAACUGUUGUGGCACAUCUUACUAAAUUAAAUGAUAUAGCUACCCUGUUCACUAAUGAUGAGAGAACUCUCUACUUUUAUAUCCUUAAAAUAUUUCCAUUCUCAUUAAAGGGUGAUGCUAAGAUAUGGUUUAAUUUUCUUGAUCCUGGUUGUGUGUGUAGUCCCCAAGAUAUGAUUUAUUACUUCUCUGCUAAAUAUUUCCCUGAUCAUAAGAAACAAGCUGCCUUAAGGGAUAUAUAUAUAAUUUUGUGCAAAUUGAAGAAGAGAGUCUCCCACAAGGUUGGGGGAGGCUUCUCCAAUUACUUAAUGCGUUGCCUGAUCACCCUCUUAAGAAAAAUGAAAUACUUGAUAUCUUUUAUAAUGGACUAACCGAUGCUUCCAGAGAUUACCUGGAUAGUUGUGCUGGUUCUGUUUUCAGGGAAAGAACACCAGAUGAAGCUGAAAUUUUAUUGAAUAAUAUGUUGACAAAUGAAAAUAAUUGGACACUUCCUGAGUCAGCCCCUGAGCCUAGUCCUAAACCAACUCCGAAGAAAAGGGGUGUUCUAUUCCUUAGUCCUGAAGAUAUGCAAGAGGCAAAGAGAUCCAUGAAAGAAAAGGGUAUUAAAGCUGAAGAUGUUAAGAAUUUACCUCCUAUUGAAGAAAUACAUGGUCUUAAUUUACCACCUGUUGAAGAAAUAUAUGGUUUUAAUCCAUCACCUAUUGAAGAAACACAUGGUCUUGAUAAUCUGACACAGGUAGUAAAGGUAAAUUCUCUCUAUAGGUAUGAUAAAUAUGAAAUCCCAUUCACCAAGUUUGCUAGCCCAUGCUUAGAUGAGUUUGAUAAAUUUAUGGCUAAGCAAGAAGACUUCAAUGCUUAUUUUGGUAGAGAAUUAAAACGCAGUGCUGAUAUGCUUGAACACUUGGGUGAUUAUAUGGCUAAUGUCAAAGGUGAACUUAAACUUAUUAGUAAACAUGCUUCUAUGGUUACCACUCAAGUAGAACAAGUACUCAAGGCUCAAAAUGAUUUGCUCAAUGAAUUGAAUAGUAAGAAUAAGGACUAUGCUGUUAGAGUGGCUACUAGAACUAGUAAAUGACUCAGGAACCUUUGUAUCCUGAAGGCCACCCUAAGAGAAUUGAGCAAGAUUCUCAGGGAAAUAAUAUAGAUGCACCUAGUCCUUCUAAAAGGAAGAAAAAGAAAAAUGAUAGGACUUUGCAUGCUUCUAGUGAACCUAUUGCUGAAACACCUGAGAAUCCAAAUGAUAUUUCUAUUUCUGAUGCUGAAACACAAUCUGGUAAUGAACAUGAACCUAGUGAUAAUGUUAAUAAUAAUGUUCAUGUUGUUGUUCAACCUAGCAAUGAUAAUGAUAUAGAAAUUGAACCUGCUGUUGAUCUUGAUAACCCACAAUCAAAUAAUCAACAUUAUGAUAAGAGAGACUUUGGUGCUAGGAAACACGAUAAGGAAAGAGAGCCUUGGGUUCAGAAACCCAUGCCUUUUCAUCCCAAACCAUCCAAGAAAAAGAUGAUGAGGAUUUUGAGCGCUUUGCUGAAAUGAUUAGACCUAUCUUUUUGCGUAUGCGAUUAACUGAUAUGCUCAAAAUGAAUCCUUAUGCUAAGUAUGUGAAAGAAAUUGUUAUAAAUAAAAGAAACAUACCGGAAGCUGAAAUUUCCACCAUGCUUUCUAAUUAUACUUUUAAGGGUGGAAUACCUAAGAAGUUAGGAGAUCCAGGACUACCCACUAUACCAUGCUCCAUUAAAAGAAAUUAUGUUAAAACUGCUUUAUGUGAUCUUGGAGCCGGUGUUAGUGUUAUGCCUCUUUCUUCAUAUCGUAGACUUGAUUUGAAUAAGUUGACACCUACUGAAAUAUCUUUGCAAAUGGCUGAUAAAUCAACUGCUAUACAUGUCGGUAUUUGUGAGGAUGUGCCUGUUGUGGUUGCAGACGUUACUAUUUUAACGGACUUUGUUAUUCUUGAUAUUCCCGAGGACGAUAGUAUGUCUAUUAUUCUUGGAAGACCCUUUUUCAAUACUGCAGGAGCUAUUAUUGAUUGCACCAAAGGCAAUGUCACUUUUCAUGUUAAUGGUAAUGAGCAUACGGUACACUUUCCAAGGAAACAACCUCAAGUCCACAGUAUCAAUUCUGUUGGAAAAAUUCCAUCGAUUAUUUUUGGAGGUUUUGAAUUUCCUCUUCCUACUGUCAAGAAGAAAUAUGACAUUCUUAUUGUUGGGGAUGUGCAUGUCCCCGUUGAGGUAACCUAGUGUUAUUAUAAAAUUCUCUGGUUCCAUGUUAUUCGGAAUGAGUUUGUUAACAAGACUUGAUCGACCUUGUUAAUGGAUUCCUUUUGAUGAUCAUGAGAUGGAUGAAGUUAGAAAACACAACUCUCUGUACCCUCUUUUUACUUUCUGUUAUUUAUAUUAAAUAAAGGAAAAAUAGUAUUUUCUGUCUAUUAUCUGAAUUAUACGUGUGUCGGUGUCAAAACCGGCGGAUCUCGGGUAGGGGGUCCCGAACUAUGCGUCAAGGCCGAAUGGUAACAGGAGACAAGGGACAAGAUGUUUUUUACCCAGGUUCGGGCCCUCUCGAUGGAGGUAAUACCCUACUCCUACUUGAUUAAUAUUGAUGAUAUGGGUAGUACAAGAGUAGAUCUACCACAAGAUCAAGGAGGCUAAACCCUAGAAGCUAGCCUAUGGUAUGAUUGUUGUGUAUGGAGUUGAUUGCCUACAGACUACAACCCUCCGGUUUAUAUAGACACCGGAUAGGGUUAGGGUUACAUAGAGUCGGUUACAAUGGUAGGAGAUCUUGAAUAUCCGCAUCGCCAAGCUUGCCUUCCACGCCAAGGAAAGUCCCAUCCGGACACGGGACGAAGUCUUCAAUCUUGUAUCUUCAUAGUCCAGGAGUCCGGCUACCCGAACACCCCCUAAUCCAGGACUCCCUCAGUAGCCCCCGAACCAGGCUUCAAUGACAAUGAGUCCGGCGCGCAGAUUGUUCGGCAUUGCAAGGCGGGUUCCUCUCCGAAUCUUGUGUACCUAUAGGAAUAAUGUCCGAUUUUUGUAAUGUAGUGCUCCUCGACUUCCACGCCCAAUAAUGGCCAUCUUCGACGUGUUCAAACGAAUGCGAAAAGCCGGGGUGUUUUUACAUCCACACCCCUAGCCGUAUAAACGAGCCGCCUAUUUAACGGGAUGGGGAUUUAGGUCCAAACCACUUCUUCUCCUUUCCGCGAGUUAUCAUCAGAGCGCUUCCAGCAAAGGUCCAUUCCAACAUGACCAGCCGUCGCAGCUCCUCCCCUCGCCCCUCCGGUCCCAAACCCGGGGACUGGGAGAGUUGCACCAUCCCGCAUAGCGAGUUAGCAUCACUUCAGCCAAGGGAUUUCUCCCUCAGGCAUGCAUGGUCCCGGUCCGAGCCGGUCUCGCCACCUAUAAUGGCGGAAAACAAGCGGAGAGCACCCCCAAUCCUUCUAAAGGAGAGCAGGUGUGCCUCGUCCCCUAUCUAAUAAGGGGACUGGGAUUUCCAAUUCACCCAUUUCUUCGCGGGCUUCUGGAGUUCUACGGCCUCCAGCUGCACAACCUCACGCCCGCCUCUGUAUUGCAUAUUGCGGGUUUCGUCGCCCUUUGCGAGCUAUUUUUAGGCGUUGAGGCUCAUUUCGCGCUAUGGAAGAGGUUAUUCUGCCUGGUGCCCCGUUCUAAAGAGGGGUCUAUAUACCAAGUAGGCGGAGCCGAAGUAUGGCGCAUCGCCGGGACCGGAUACCUAUCCGGAACCCCAAAGAAGGCGUCCGAGGACUGGCCUUCAGAAUGGUUUUAUAUAGAUGAUGUCCCGCUACCGGACCCUAUCCGGGUCGGUCUCCGUGAGUUCAACAGUGCUCCAUUGAAGAAACGCUUGAGCUGGCGUCCGCGGAGCUCUUAGAGAGAAAGCGACAGAGACGUCCUUUACCUGAUGGGCCGGAUAAGACUGUUGGCUCAUUCCGGACUAACCAUGAUUGGAGUCAUGGCCGCAUGCAUUAUGCGGGGGAUGCAGCCACUUCAAUAUAGAGGCCACCCCAUGUGGGAUUUCAACGGGGAGGAUGACGCCACCCGUUACGGUCGUAAGGGGCCGGCUUCAGCUGCCGCCCUAGUAAAGAUCUUAUCCUCUUUGUACAAGGGAGAAAAGGAGGAAUUCCUCCGCGUCAACCCGCAGGCCGGAUUUACUAUGUACGAUCCUCCAAGUUGGGUAAGUGAACAACUACGCUUGCCCGUUUGUUUUGUACUCCCACGGUUAGAUAUGUAGUCUAACGACUUCAAUGCAGGAACUGCGACAGGUGGUAAAGGAUAUAAACAGCUGCCCUCCACAACCCGAGGACCCAGAACGGUCCCUCGAUCCGGACUCCGAAGAGGAUCCGGACAUAUCGGUGGAGCUUAUCGACGGGGUGUUCCAUCAGCUAAGCAAGGACAAUACCUUGGUAGCCAUCACGACUGAUUACUUAGGGUUAAUCCCGGCCUCCCAGGUGACAGGAACCGGAGUCUCCUUCCCUUGAGAGAGAUUCCACUCUCACAUAUUCUGGUGUUUCUGACGACAACCGUGUUUUGCAGGGGAGAUUUCCGAGGCAGGAGGCCGAACCUGCGGCGGCUAGCCAACGAGGGGCCGCAGGGCCCUGUGGGGCAAAAAGGAAUGUAGUACGGACUGAGAUGCCGGCGCAAAGGUAUAGCGCACCCUCUGCUUCCCUGGUGUUAUUCUGUCCAGGCAUAUUAACGUUCGUGCUAUCUUCAGAACGAAGAGACCUCGCCGGACUAUAUCCGGAGAGGUUGCCAAUCGCGCCUCCACCAGCCAGGCUCCAACAUCUGGCCAGGAAGCGGAGGCGAGCACAAGGUGCGCACCGGACACUCCUCCGACAGAGGAUGCAGACAUGCUAUCUGCCACAAAUUCUGAAGUGGAGAGUGCCAUGAACCACAGGCGUCGCCGGACAGUUCUACGCGACGCUUGUUUCUCCCAAGAGGCUUUAGAUGCCUUUAAUUUGGGAGAUGCGUACCUCCGUGCCGCUCAAAAUGGUUUAGCCAGAGCCACGGAGCAGUAUGUAAAAGACAUACGGGUAAGAAAAUUUUGGUCAAAUAUAUAUAUACCCGUAGCCCCCGAGACUUGAAACAGUUAGAGCAACUGAUUUAAGGAUCAUUUAAUAUUCAGGUUCAUACAGAGAGGAAUACUGUACUGUCCCAGGAGCUGGAAAAGUGCAAGGCCCAACAAGAGGCCGCACUAGCUGCAGCAGGGGAGUCCAAAGAGACCCCCUCAGGUAAGAUACACUUCAAAAGAUUAGUAUUGUGCGGUGUGGGUGCAAAUCUGACAAAUCAUGUUGCAGAUGGCACCAGACUCAAUCCGGAAAAGCAACAACUCUUACGCCGGCUAAAGGCCGGUGAGAGUACGUUGACAAAGGUGAGGCGAGAGAAGAAUGAUCUUCAGGAUGCCAACACCAGGCUGGACGUCGAACUUAAAGAUGUUCGUGGCCAGCUGUCGAACUCCACGAAGGAGAAUCAGCGGCUUCGACGCGGCAUAUUUAGUAAGUGCUUGAACGAACUUUGAAAAAAGAGUUUGGCGAGGAAGUCGACUAACAGAGUAAUGUCUGUAGGUAUGCUCACAGGUCGUCCUGCAGAGGAGAUGCCCGGUUCUACGGGUGACCUUCUUCCCGAACUCAUGCAACUGCACGAGCGAAUUCGGCAGGCGAUGCGAGGUGUUGCCCAAGCCUUAUGGCCUGCCCACUCCAUGCCCGAGGGCCUUGGAGAGCUUGCAGAGAAGCUGAAGGGAGCUCGGCGGCGCUUCCGGUUGUGGAAGAUAUCGGCCCGCCGACAAGGCGCUAGGGAAGCCUGGGUCAUGGUGAAGACCCGUUUUACGAAGUCUGACCCAAACCACAUGGCCGAGGUCGGACCAGUGGGGCCUGACGGGAAGGAGAUCCCUGUGAGCUUAGUAUACGGCCAAGUAGAGUUGGCCGUGAAGUAUUCCUAGCAGGACUGUAAAUUAGACAGCCUGUUAGAUGGUAUAGAAGAGGAAUACAAUUAGUCAGAAUGACUAUGUAAUUUUGAAUUGACAUGCGUAAUGCCUUCUAGCCGAAUUGUAGAUCGUUUGUCGUUGCCGACCUUUUCGCUUCAACCUCGGGACCUGACGGUCCGGAGUGUGUCCGAAUACCAUAGCGGUUAUAUAAGAACCGUGGUAUGCGUGGAGACCAGGCGUAGGGGUCAUUAGUGCUUUAUCAGACAAGUGCCCAACUAGUUAUGUUAUAUUACAUGGUUAGUAAGAAACAUCUUCCAGAGAGAAUAGUUUCGUUAGGGGUUCCUUUCGCUGGGAGGCAUGCCCUAAAGUGCAUGUCCGGACUGCGUAAAAAGACGCAGAAAAAAGCAUCUGGGGGCGCAUAGAAUGAGUAAAAAGAUCAUCUUUUAUCUCACCGACCGAAUAUUCCCUUAAGAAUGCUAGCUUUAGGCUUCACCCAGUCUGAGUUACACAUCCGGCUGACCCGGCAGUAACAAUCGCAGAGGUGCUCCCUUUACCGCCUAGCCGAACAAUCGGGAACGUAGGGGUAAGCACAGGAGCCAGGCAACCCAGCUUGGCCAAAACUUAAGUCAUAUCGAUGCAUAUAAUGGUGAAAAAAAGGGUACAUGCGGAAGUUUGACGCAUGUGUUGGGCGUGAAGCCCGUAUAAAUAAGCUUCUGUUAAAGAAGCCCCCAGGUUUAAUGAGCGCGAGUGGCGCAUCACUAGAUGAGCCUUUAAGGGCUAUAAAAGAAAAGAGGGGAAGGAGAGAAAUGUAAGACAGAAAAAUGCAAAAAAUGGACAGAGGAAGGAGACGAACAUAGAGUCCGGCGCUAGGCAUAGAAUCUUCGGAGACGGGUGGCAUUCCACGAGUUCGGCUCGAGUCGGUUAUCCGACGCAUCUCGCAAGCGGUACGCCCCGCCAGUCAGGACUUGGUCGAUUAUGAAUGGACCUUCCCACUUGGGCUUGAGUUUGUCCUUUUUCUUAUCUGGCAGGCGUAGAAAUAGUUCGCCAACAUUGUAAUUUUUGGCCCUUACUUCUCUGCUUUGACAUAUUCGGACCUGCUGUUGAUAAAAUGCGGAACGGGCUUUUGCCACGUCACGCUCCUCCUCCAGGGCGUCCAAGUUGUCCUGCCGAUCGAGCUCGGUUUCUCUUUCUUCGUACAUGCGCACUCUAGGUGAGUCAUGAAUUAUGUCGCAGGGCAGAACUGCCUCUGCGCCGUACACCAUAAAAAUGGUGUGUAUCCGGUGGUGUGAUUUGGCGUGGUCCGCAGCCCCCAUAGCACGGAGUCGAGCUCCUCUACCCAGUGCGUUUUAGAUUCCUUGAGGGACCGCACCAGUCUGGGUUUAAUGCCGCUCAUGAUAAGACCAUUUGCACGUUCGACCUGGCCGUUGGUUUGUGGGUGAUAGACGGAAGCAUAAUCGAGCUUGAUGCCCAUGUUUUUGCACCAGAGUUUUACCUCGUCGGCGGUAAAUUUUGUACCGUUAUCGAUUAUGAUGCUGUGGGGGACGCCAUAACGGUGUACAACCCCAGAUAUGAAGUCUAUCACAGGUCCGGAUUCAGUCGUUUUAACAAGCUUGGCUUCUAUCCAUUUGGUGAAUUUAUCCACCAUGACCAGUAAGUAUUUUUUCCUAUCGGCCCCACCUUUAAGGGGUCCGACCAUGUCAAGCCCCCAGACCACAAAAGGCCAGGUGAUGGGUAUAGUUUGGAGUGCGGUGGGUGGCAUAUGGCUUUGGUUGGCAAAAAGUUGGCAACCAGCGCAUCGUUGAACUAGGUCCUGAGCGUCUGCCCGGGCCGUCAGCCAAUAAAAGCCUGUACGAAAAGCCUUGCUAACAAGGGACCAAGCAGCGGCAUGGUGACCACCGAGUCCGACAUGAAUUUCAGCCAAAAGGUUCCACCCUUCCUCUUCGGAGAUGCACCUUUGAAGGACUCCGGUAGUGCUUUUCUUAUAAAGCUCUCCCUCAUGGACUCUAUAGGCUUUAGAUCGCCGCACUAUGCAGCGGGCCUCGUUUUGGUCCUCCGGGAGUUCCUGCCUAGUAAGGUAGGCUAGGAAUGGUUGUGUCCACGGGGCGAUGACCGCCAUUAUUAUGUGGGCUGAAGGUGUAAUUUCAUUGGUAGAGCCUCCAAUUGUGUCAGAUUGUUCGGCGUCGAGUGGUGCGGCUGGGUCCGGGCUGUUAUUUGCGGGUUCCCCCUCCCAUGCUAUGGAUGGCUUGAAAAAUCUUUCCAAAAAUAUGUUGGGGGGACUGCAUGCGUCUUGCUCCGAUGCGUGCCAGGACGUCCGCUUCUUGAUUGUUUUCUCGGGCUAUAUGGUGAAACUCCAGCCCUUCGAACCGAGCUGACAUUUUUAGGACGGCGUUGCGGUAAGCUGCUAUUUUUGGGUCCUUGGCAUCGAGGUCUCCAUUUAUUUGGGAUAUCGCGAGGUUUGAAUCCCCGCAUACCUCUAGGCGCUGGAUACCCAUGGAUACUGCUAUCCGGAGGCCAUGUAGGAGUGCCUCAUAUUCGGCUGCAUUGUUGGAAUCCAUGUACAUGAUCUGGAGCACAUAUUGGACUAUGUCUCCUGUGGGGGACGUCAGGACAAUGCCAGCCCCCAGUCCGGCCAACAUUUUGGAGCCGUCAAAAUGCAUAAUCCAGUUUGAAUAUGUGUCGUACUCUUUAGGGAGCUCGGCCUCCGUCCAUUCUGCGACGAAGUCGGCCAAAACUUGCGAUUUAAUAGCUCGCCGUGGCUUAUAGGUUAUAUCGAACGGGAGAAGCUCGAUGGCCCAUUUUGCAAUCCGGCCCAUUGCGUCACGGUUGUUGAUAAUAUCGUUGAGUGGUACUUCCGAGGCUACUGUUAUGGAACAAUCUUGAAAGUAGUGUCGUAGCUUCCGGGAUGCCAUGAAUACCGUGUAUGCAAUCUUUUGAUAAUGCGGGUACCGUGAUUUGCAUGGAGUGAGGACGGUGGAUACGUAGUAGACCGGCCUUUGAAGGGGGAAUUUGUGUCCAUCCGUUUCCCGCUCAACAACGAGUACUGCGCUGACAACUUGAUGUGUUGCUGCGAUGUACAAUAACAUUGGUUCGCCGGUGUUCGGCGCGGCCAGGACUGGGUUUGUUGCCAAUAUGGAUUUUAUUUCAUCAAGUCCGAUCGUGGCGGCCUCCAUCCACUCGAAGUGUUCGGUGCGCCGAAGGAGGCGAUAGAGGGGUAGUGCCUUUUCUCCCAAGCGGGAGAUGAAGCGGCUUAAAGCCGCCACGCAUCCGGUUAAUUUUUGUAUUUGUUUGAGGUCCUUUGGGAUAUCCAAUUGUGACAAAGCUCGGAUCUUGGCUGGAUUUGCUUCAAUUCCUCUACCGGAUACAAUGAAGUCCAAGAGCUUUCCGGCUGGAACGCCGAAGACGCAUUUUUCCAGGUUGAGCUUGAUGUCAUAUUUUUGGAGGUUAUCGAAUGUAAGCCUCAAGUCGUCUACUAGAGAUUCAACGUGUCUUGAUUUGACGACCACAUCGUCCACAUACGCCUCCACUGUUUUGCCGAUCUGAUUUGCCAGACAUGUCUGGAUCAUGCGCUGAUAUGUUGCGCCGGCGUUUUUUAGCCCGAAGGGCAUUGUGUUGAAGCAGAAUGGGCCGUAUGGUGUGAUGAAUGCUGUUGCAGCUUGGUCUGAUUCUGCCAUCUUGAUUUGAUGGUAACCGGAGUAUGCAUCGAGGAAACACAACAAAUCGUGUCCUGCGGUGGCAUCGAUAAUUUGGUCGAUGCGGGGGAGGGGGAAGGGAUCCUUUGGGCAAGCCUUCUUAAGGUCUUUAAAGUCGACACAUAGGCGCCAUGAUUUGUCCUUCUUUGGUACCAUCACCAGGUUUGCUAGCCAGUCCAGAUGUUUUAUGUCUUUGAUGAAUCUGGCCUCCAAUAGCUUGGCUAGCUCCUCUCCCAUAGCCCGUCUCUUGGGUUCGGAAAAACGCCGAAGGGCUUGUUUGACAGGUUUAAAUCCUUUUAGGAUAUUUAAGCUGUGUUCGGCUAGCCUGCGUGGGAUCCCUGGCAUGUCUGAAGGGUGCCAGGCGAAGAUGUCCCAGUUCUCUCGUAGGAACUCUCGUAGUGCGGUGUCAGCAUCAGGGUUCAGUCGUGCCCCGAUUGAAGCUGUUUUAUUGGGGUCCGUUGGAUGGACCUAGAAUUUGACUAUUUCGUCGGCUGGCUUGAAGGAUGUGGAUUUGGAUCUCUUAUCGAGUAUCACAUCAUCCCUGUUAACCGUGGAGCGCAGCACAGUCAGUUCCUCGGCCACUAAGGCUUCGGAUAGCGCCUCAAGGGCUAAGGCAGCCGUCUUGUUUUCGGCGCGGAGUGCUAUGUCCGGAUCACUAGCUAGAGUGAUAAUUCCAUUCGGCCCGGGCAUCUUAAGCUUCAUGUACCCAUAAUGGGGUAUUGCUUGGAAGAUUGUGAAUGCUUCUUGCCCUAGUAAAGCGUUAUAUCCGCUCUUAAACAGGGCCACCUGAAACGUGACUUCUUCGGACCUGUAAUUAUCUGGCGUGCCGAACACCACAUCUAGUGUGAUUUUUCCUGUGCAGCGCGCUUCCUGACUGGGGAUUAUUCCUCUAAAGGUUGUGCUGCUUCGCUCGAUGCGGUUCCAGUCUAUUUCCAUUUUUUGAAGGGUUUCCUCAUAAAUGAGGUUCAGUCCGCUGCCUCCAUCCAUGAGCACCUUGGUGAGGCGAAAGCCGUCCACUAUGGGACUGAGGACCAAUGCGGCUGGUGCUCGGGCUGUUCGGAAUCUAGGUUCAUCACUUGCGUUGAAGGUAAUAGCAGUGUCGCUCCAUGGAUUUAUUGUUGCAACUUGAUAGACUUCGGCGAGGCUGCGGAGUGUUCUUUUUCGCAUAUUGUUUGAUGCGAAAGUCUCGAAGACUGUGAGAAUGGUACUAGUAUCCUCGGGCUGGCUUUCUGCAGCCUCCAGAAUUAAGAGGUCCUCGCCAAUUUUGGCCACCUACCGGAGUAUCCAACAUGCUCUAAGGCUGUGAGUUGGUGUGGCGUCCUCUGUACUGUGAAUUCUACAGGGUCCAUCAAGCCACCUUUCCAGUACGGUUCCAUGCCCUGUAGAGGGUUUUGGUUUUUUGGUGUUUAUCUCGGGUGUCCUAUAAUGAUGCACCCUCUUAGUUCAGACGGGAUUACUAUUCAAGGCCGGAUGAUCCCAAAACUUUAUUUCGGUUUUCCAGGCGCUUUCCAUCGCAUAGUAUUUUUGUACUAUGGACGCCAAGUUAGCGAAGCGUGUAAUAUCACGACGACUUACGGCGUUAAGGAUUCCCUCAUCCGUGCAAUUACUGCAGAGAUUGCGUCUCCCUCGCGGCAAUCCUUUAUCCUGUUCAUAACCAGGAGGAAUCUGGCCCAGUAAUGAUGUACUGUUUCCUCAGGCCUCUGCCUGAUUUGGGAGAGAUCGCUUAUGUUCGGGUGGGCUGGUGUCGUUGAAUCUAAAACCUCACCCAAUCCAAGAUUCGAAGGCCGAAGAGUUUCCGAACUCUAAAGUUCGGAUUCUUGGAUGUUGUCCAACGAAUCUAGCCCGUUGCCUGAUCCUAAGCUCAGGUCUUGAGUUACAUCCUCCUCUCCGCGGGUAUCCGGCUUGGAGGAGUCAGAAAUUCAGACGUAGCUAGUCCUUAAAAUAGAUGAAGGGUCGCCGCACUGCGCCCCUACCACGGCAAUGUGGUGGGUGACUUGGGGAGAGUUAAUUUCUCUUAGAUCGGGUUUAAGCCCAACCUGGUCGUAAUCCGUAGCGACCCCCAGGGCGGUGAUGCGAUCCAAGAGCUCGUUUACGGAAGAGAGCUCCAUUGGAUCUAGCUGCUCGACGAGCUCCGAGCUGACGUGUAGGUUGCUUUUGAUGACCCGAGAGGUCACCGUCGGUGCAACAGCCGAACAGCCAAGGCUCCCUUAGCAACGGCGCCGUCUUUAAAAGACGGGAGGAGGCAUCCUUCCUGAUUGUGACGGCACAGAGGAACUCUCAAUGAAAGCACCAAUGUCGGUGUCAAAACCGGCGAAUCUCGGGUAGGGGGUCCCGAACUGUGCGUCAAGGCCGGAUGGUAACAGGAGACAAGGGACAAGAUGUUUUUUACCCAGGUUCGGGCCCUCUCGAUGGAGGUAAUACCCUACUCCUGCUUGAUUAAUAUUGAUGAUAUGGGUAGUACAAGAGUAGAUCUACCACGAGAUCAAGGAGGCUAAACCCUAGAAGCUAGCCUAUGGUAUGAUUGUUGUGUAUGGAGUUGAUUGCCUAUGGACUACAACCCUCCGAUUUAUAUAGACACCGGAUAGGGUUAGGGUUACAUAGAGUCGGUUACAAUGGUAGGAGAUCUUGAAUAUCCGCAUCGCCAAGCUUGCCUUCCACGCCAAGGAAAGUCCCAUCCGGACACGGGACGAAGUCUUCAAUCUUGUAUCUUCAUAGUCCAAGAGUUCGGCUGAAGGUAUAGUCCGGCUACCCGAACACCCCCUAAUCCAGGACUCCCUCAACGUGCAAUAUAAAAAUACCCCGAUUUUUUUCUCCAAAUGCCGUGAAAUUUAAAUAUGAUUUUUUCUGGAAUAUUUGAGAAUAUUUGGCACUGAGAACACAGUAGGGGGGAAUCCACCUGGCCACGAGGGUGGAGGGUGCACCCUACCCCCUGGACGCGCCCCUGCCUCGUGGGCGCAUGGUGGCCCUCCUCCACUUAUUCCUGCACCCAUACACUUCUUCUUCCUCCGACAAACACCACUAUCCAGCUCAAGCACGAGUUCUAGCUCAUUUUGCUGCGAUUUUCGAUCUCCUUGCUCAAAGCACCUCUCACAAAACUGCUUUGGGGGAUUGUUCCUUGGUAUGUGACUCCUCCAUUGGUCCAAUUAGUUUUUGUUCUAGUGCUUUAUUCAUUGCAUGUUUUUGCUGCCUAGGUGACCCUGUUCUUGAGCUUGCAUGUCAAAUUUAUAUGGUUCCAAGUAGUUCUAAUGCAUGAUAUAGGCUCUAGGCACUUGUAGGAGUAGUUGCUAUCAAUAUUGUUGAGUUUGGUUCACUUUUAUUUGAAGCUACUAAAAAUUUCAGAAUUUUUCAGAAAAUAAUGAAGAGAUUUUUGAGGGGCUCAUCGAGCCGAAGCUCGAAGGAAAAGCAAAAUGAAGAAGCAAAGAGGCCCAAAUAUAAUCUGCCUCACAUCACGGAGGUUCGGCCGUGUGAAUGGCCUUGUGAUGAUUUCUUGAGAGCAGCCGGGAUUUAUGAUGAUUUCUAUGAAUUGGCUGAGAAUGCAGGCCUCACCACCUUCCUCCACGACCAAUGGGAUCAGUAUCUCUUACUCACCAAUAUCUUUGUGCAAAACUUUCAUUUCCAUGCUAGGAGCUCACCACCUACGGUGGAGUUUUAUUUAUAUGAUGAGCAUAAGGAGAUGUCACUUCAUGAUUUUUGUCGGGUUUGUUUGAUCCCCUUAGAGGGCAUCAUAGAGGAACCACAUCGUGGCGAUGUGGAUGGGUUUAUUGAUACCAUCACUAUAGGGGAAACGAGGAAGGUUUCCGACGCACGAACCACUAGCAUACACUAUCUUGUUCUACGUUACUUUGCUAUAUUUGCUAGUAGAUGUUUAAUUGGGCGUGGAAACUGUGGAAACCUGAGUGCCCCUGAUAUUGUUAUUUUGUGCCACACCUUAUUUCGUGAUGAUACAUUCAGCAUGGGUGCUAUUAUUGCAAAGCGGUUAAAUCUUAACCGUACUAAGGGCCCCGUCUUUGGAGGCAUCUUCGCCUCACGCCUAGCUGCACAUUUUAACAUACCUAUUAGGCAUUAUGAGAAGGAAGAAAAAUUGCUGCCUCCUGUUUAUUUGGAUUAUAAGAGUAUGGUAGCACAUGAUUUUAUUGUUAAGAAUAGGGAAAAUGAGCUCAAAUACAAAUUGUUCUUUGAUAAACAUCAUCCUGAGACUAUUACCCUGCCUGCUCCUUCCUUGUUUGAUUUUUCUGCAGGCAAGUACCUUGUUCCGUUGGAGGCUAUUCAUGCCUACCGGAACCCUACAUCAGCCACAGAGCCAGAGUCGGAACCCCAAGUUGAUCCUCCACGCCAGUCUAAUUACCAGUGGGAUCUAGAGAUGAUUGGCAACCAGUGGAAAUCAGAGUCUUCCUCUUCACAGUACGACCCCAACUAUUACUUUGGAUAUCCGCCGGGCCAGCCGUGGCCAUAGACCAACUUAGGCCAAAAGCCUAAGCUUGGGGGAGUACGUAUUUCCCACCGACAUUACAUUCAUGUUCACACACUCAUUGCUAGUUGUCGGUGCUCAUACUUUUUCAUUGUAUCAUCCAUGCUAGUUUAUUUACUUUUUAUGCUUUCUUCUUGUGUGUUUAAUAAACCUUAAGAAAAACCAAAAAAAAAAA